ACUUACGGUCCACUGGUUUAAGAAAUACUAGUAAUGUAAUAACUUUCAUAAUGAUCAGUGGGGCCACGUACAAACGAACAGACGGCCCUUACACUGAAGAACACAACGGAUGGGUGCAGCACACGCACUGCAUCUGCACAUCCAAAUUACACACACAAACAAAAAUCACGAUACUUAAUCAAACGCAGCAGCAAUCGCGCGCGCGCGCGCAUGCAGGAGCUCCGGGCGGCCGGCCGAUGCGGUCGAUCCUGCGCGCCCACCGCAGGAGCCAUGCACGCAUGCAUGUAAGCACGGGGUAACCGGAGGAUAAAUUAUUUAAUUAGUACUCGACGGCGGCGGACGGAGGGUCGUCGAUCAGAAGUCGCCGCCGGCGGGUUUGACCUUCCCCCCCUUGGCGCCGUCGCCGUUCUCGGCGGUGUUCAUGCUGAAGCUUUUGAGACUGCGGCCGCCGAUGCUGUUCAUGGAGAAGCUGUUCCCGUUCACGCCCGCGGCGGCUUCCACCGGCGCCGCGGUGUGGCUCAGCAGCAGGAGCCCCAGCAGGGCCAGGCCGAGCAGGGUCAUGCGCAGCUCGUUGUUCCUUGCGCCCGCCAUUGAUGCCUGUGGAAGAUUGAGAGAUUGCACGGAUGGAGGUGGGUUUAUUUGUUUAUUGCGGUGGAUUAUUCGCGAGCUCUGGUGGUGGGUGGAGGAAGGAGGAGGUGUUCUUGAGGAUUUAUAGUGGAAGGAGAAGGAGAGACGGGUGGUGGUGGAACAACUUGGCUAAACUUGGCUAACCAAUUGAGGCUGGGAGGCACACUAAUUACAUCCAUCAGGAGCGAACUGCAUGGCGAUCAAUGCCUUCAACCUGAGGCUGAGAGGCUGAGAAGCGUGAGAGGCACACUAACCAAUUGGGUGCUUAUCAAGGUUUUGGAUCCUCAGUGGACCUUUUUUCUCAGAGGGGCACCCAGAUUCACGGUUACCACGAUAACCACAAAAUACCAAAAAAGGUUGGACAAAUUUAAAAUCAAAUUUUGAAUUUAAUUUUUUUGAAGGUAAUAUAGAUAGGUACUUAACUCUAGACUCGAACCAGCGACUCGCCACUUAGAAAAGGAUGGCUUUGCCACUAGGCCCACAAACAGUACUGUUGUUAUAGAAGAGAUGGCCUAUUUAAUUAUGCUGUGAGUGUUUGAAUUCAAAAAUUUCAAAAUAUUGGAGAUUUUUUGCUCAAUACGAGUGUUUCUUGAGGGAGGACGGUAACCGCACGAAAUCUCGAAAUUCCGCUCGGUAACCAACACGCUGGUGCUUAUAGGCUCACGCAGUAAUAUUGUAGUAACAUCUACUCCCUCCGUCCCAUAAUAUAAGAUGUUAUUACAACCAAUAUAUAAGUACAUUGGUUGUAAUAACAUCUUAUAUUGUAGGACGGAAGGAGUAACGUGUUAGUUUUUUUGUGAGAAACUUUUGAUCUAUUCAUUCUAAAACUGCUGGCAAGGGGGCAUGGCCCUUUGAUUAAGCUACCGUUAUAUACGUUUCUACUAUUAUGGGCAACUAUUUACUUAAAAGAAGUUGAAUACAUAUUUCCUUCAACCUGAAGGGCGAGGACCUGCAACGACGUAAUGUUUAAAAGUAACCAGCAUAUGAGAGUGAUCAGAAAGCAUACGACUCCAGGGAAGAUUGGCUAGUCAUAUUAGAAUGAAAUAUUCCAUUGUACUAAUGAUAAACCUUGGUUGACUAUGAUAUGAAUUUUGAUUGUGUUUUCUACUUGUUCAGACCGUGAUAGUGCUUCUCUUUGUGACUGAUGGAAGGUUCAUUAUGUGUAAGAUAUAUUCUAGUUUACAAGCAUGAAACCCUCCUUUCCAACGAAAUGGGGACCAAAAAGAGGCCGUGUCAGCCGAGACAGCGACGGGUUCUCCACCCAGACGGGAAUGUAAUGACACAAGUCUGGAAACAGGAUAAUGUAGAGGCAAGAUGAGCUAUUUAAAUAGGUGUCAAGUAAAAGUGUAGUAAUGUAUGCAGCUGAGUGGUCUUAAGCACUCUGUGCAUCCAUACUGACCUAGAAUGUGCGCGCUUCAGAAUGGCAAUUAAAGUGAACUACUAAAUGUUAUACCGGCUUGGCCCGAUCAAAACUUCUAUCCCCCCCGAAACUGUCUCGUGUCUUAUCUGUGUGCGCGAUUGAGGAAAUUGACUUUGUAUUUUUCUUGGGCCUAACUCGGGGGCUGACGUUGCCUUGUGUUGUAAUCCAGGGAUGAUUAGUCGAAGUAGAAGCACUAACAUCCUUGUAGGUGUAUUAAACAUGGGUGUAUAAUACUCUGACUUGUGCACAGACAAGUGGCUGCUUCCCCACGAGAACAAAGCCAAUGUGAAGAUUCCCAAAUCAAGAAACAACUCUUUGCAAAAUCAAGGAGCGAUCAAGAAGACCAAGGUUCAAAACAAGCAUCAAGACAAUCACCAGCAUAGAAGCGUCCUUGCCGGCAAGGGCGAGCCGGCAAGGUGAAGACCCGGCAAGCCCCGUGGCUAGCAAACCCCCGCCAAUGUCAGUGCUCCACAUCACCAACCAGCUGGACGUUGACCGGUGUGGUGUCGAGCCCGCGGGCAACAAGGUGGCGUUUGCCAGCACGUGUCAGCUUGCUGGAGGAAAUAUUACCUUUAUCGACACCCAUCCAAAGGGCGUGUCAAGCUAAUAGGAGUUAGCUAGGUAAGCGGUGAUGCAUCCUUGCCGGGGCUUCUCCUCCUCGCGAGACCUAGCGAUACAUUAAAUGAUUUUUGCCCUAACCAACAGAGUUAGGUAUGAUAGCACUAUAUGCUAUCUAAUCAUUAUGUAAUGACCCUUUUGCCACUGUGGUGACCCCUUUGAGCUAUAAAAGGAGGACCAAGGCAACCUUUACGAGGGUUCCAACCCAUUCCAACUCUACACACUCCUAUCUGUGUACGCUGCCUUCUCCUUGCACCUUGAUGGGGAAGAGCGCUCCGUGUACUCGUGCUCCACAGCAUUAUUAAUGCAGCAAAAGCAGGUCUUACGCCUCAAAGGUGGCCCGAACCUAGGUAAAUCCUUGCACCUUCUGUUACACCUGCUCUUUGUGUUUUGUGCAACCCCUCGCCGAACCACAAGGGGACCAAAUCACCCCACAGAUAGUCGAUCCACACCCACAUCUUUGGUGCACCAGGUAGGGCGCAUCGCACUGGCGUGAACCUAGAUAGCAGAUGACGCAUCGACUUCAUCAAGUUCUUAUUCAUCAUCUUCUUCAUCCAUGGCGCACAAAAAGAAGGGCUCCAUGGCGACAAAGCCUUCCACGUCCAAACUCCCUUCGCAUGCACCCACAAGCGCGCGAGCGGCGGCGCCACCAUGGACGUUGCAAAUGUCGCGGUAGGCACAACCAGCGCAGGCAGCACGAUUGCUGUGCCUACUGUGGCGGGAACGGGCGAUGAAAGGUGCUGGAGGUGGUCAACUUCCACGACCCUCCUAUGAAGACAGUAACAAUGGUACGGGUUGUGCGGACAUGUGGCUCCCGCCUCCCCAGCACCACGACGAGCACGGCCAUCGGAGCAGCAUAGUCUGGUCAGGCACGGGAGACGACAUCAAAGCACACACUGCGCUCGUCGUGAGAUGGGCGUGAUGUGACCCCGAGCGGCGUUGUUGAUAAUGCACAAUAGCUCCCGCACGACAAGACGCCUGUUGAUCAAGUCCAAGAUCCCCAAGCGUCGCUCGCGCCAUGCCAUCCAACUGCCACACUCGCAGUGUAGCGGCAGGAUCGCAACGGCGCUCCUACUGGCUCUGCCAGGAGUCGAACGACGUCGCGUUCUUCGCGCUCCAACAUGCCUACGACAGCAACGGAGGCGAAUGGUGUGGGCCCAGAUGCUGUUGGAUUUUCCUCCAACAACCGACAAGAUAGAUGAAUGGAGAGCCACCAUCCGGUGCUUGAUCGAGUUUGCCGAUGCAAACAGAUCCUAGUUGGCAGAACCCUCAUGGCACCCGCCAACCAUGCCAGUAGCUCAGACUGAUGGCCAUUUGGCAGGUGGUGCACCUACGGUACAAUCACCCCUGCAGCAGCAACUCCAGCAGCAAUGCCGACAGUCACAACGAACCCAACAGAAUGUCAAUCCCGACGACGUGUCAAUGGCCUCCUCGGAUCCACAAACACAACAAGAUCAGUGACAAGUGCUGCUAGAUAGGUGAGUAGAGGAUGCUCGCACUACCAUUCAACAACAAUGGGAGGCACGCCCUCAAUCAGACGAGCGCAAUGGUCCAGCCUCGAUGAGCCAGUGCCCGUUGUUGGCGGGUACUUGCCUUACGAGGUUGGGUGCCCUACUUUCACACGUGAGCUAUAGCAAGUCCGCUGGUCGUCCAUCCACGCGUUCAAACCCAAAGUACCAGAAAAGUACGAUAGCAAGCUAAACCCAAUAGAAUUCUUUGGCAUUUACACAAUCGUCGUGCAGGCUGCUAGAGGAAGAGAUGAGAAAAUCUUAGCAAACUAUUUCCCAUUGGUGCUCAAGCCCAAUGUGAGAUCUUGGUUGAUGAACUUGCCAGAAAACUCCAUUUCCUCAAGGUCAGAUCUACGCAACAAGUUCAUUGGUGCCUUUACCGGAGGACAGAAAGGACCUGGAUUGCCCAGUGAUUUGCAUGUGAUCCCACAAAAGGAAGGAGAAGAUCUGCACAAAUACAUCCAGAGGUUCAGUCAUGUACACCAUAGCAUACCGGAUGUGCACCCUGCGUCUGUGAUUGCUGGGUUCCAUACUAACGUGCGCCACUGCAAUAUGCGGGAAAAUAUGCACAUACGAUUGCCGAAGACCGUCAACGAGCUCUAUACGUUGGCGGAUGAAUGUGCACGCACUGAGGAGGGAAGAAGGUUUCCCGAGGAACAUGCUGGCAUCGAAGUUGAUUCAGAUGAUGAUGAUGCCACUACCACAAAGAAGAACAUCCGGAGACGCAAUAGGAAGCGCAAGGGCAAGUCUGUUAUGGCCGUAGAGGGGUCCGACAACUCCAGCCCUGCCAAGAAAACCAAGAAGGGAAGCUCUGGCAAGGAAGCAGCUUCGUGUGCUGACUGCUAGGUAGCUACGAUGGGCGAGAAAGCCGGCAAAUCUGACGGGUCGUACUAUAAAAUUCACCAUACCAAGGGCUACAACCUCCAAGAGUGCCGUCAAGUUGAACAACUGGUUGAGAAACAGAAGACUGAGUAUGAGAAGCGCGACAAGGAAAAGGGCCAGGAUGGUAUAGGUGUGUCCAGCAAGAGAGAUCGCGACAGCCAAGGAGGGCGCCACGGCAAAACCAAUCAACAGAAAGAAGCCUGCUAGAGGCAGGGAGAAGAAAGAAGGAGAUGAAGAGAGUGAAGAGGAAGAUGAUGAUGAAUCCAGUGAGAAUGAGUUCUAGAAGGAAACAUAUGCCAUGUGCAUUGACGGGGGUGCAUCUCUGCAUUCCUCUCACCGUCAGCUUAAACAGUCGAAACGUGAGGUCAAUGUGGCGGAGCCGACAGCAGAUGCCCAACAGCACCGACAGUAGAUGCCCAAAAGCCCCUCAAGUGGUCCCACAAACCUAUCAUUUUCCAUGCCGAGGACCACCUUGAUCGCACGACCGCGGUCGAGUGUUUCCCGUUGUUGGUUUCACCAAUGAUACACAACCUCAAGGUUACGAAAAUCCUAGUUGACGGUGGGGCUAGCUUGAACUUGAUCUCUCUUGAGGUGAUAGAGAGGCUGCAGAUUCCUGAGGAAGAACUCAAGAAAACCGGGACAUUUCAAGGAAUUAACUCAGGAAGGAGCCAGCCUAAAAGAAAGAUUACACUGUCAGUGACGUUUGGCAGGGAACUGAACUACCAAACUGAGAAGAUAGUGUUGGAUGUUGUCAAGAUCCUUGAUAUGUCUCCAACGUAUCUAUAAUUUUUGAUUGUUCCAUGCUAUUAUAUUACCUGUUUUGGAUGUUUAUGGGCCUUACUAAACACUUUUCUAUCAUUUUUUUGGGACUAACCUAUUAACCGGAGGCCCAACCCAAAUUGUUGUUUUCUUGCCUAUUUCAGUGUUUCAAAGAAAAGGAAUAUCGAACGGAGUCCAAACGGAAUGAAACCUUCGGGAAAGUUAUUUUUGGGACGAAAGCAAUCCAGGGGACUUAGAGUGCACGUAAGGGAAGCUUCAUGGUUGCCACGAGGCAGGGAGGCGCGCCCUCCCCCCUGGGCGCGCCCCCACCCUCGUGGGCCCCUUGUGGCUCCCCUGACCGACUUCUUUCGCCUAUAUAUGUGCAUAUACCCUAAAAACAUCAAGGACAACAAAAUAUCGGGAGUUCCGCCGCCGCAAGCCUCUGUAGCCACCAAAAACCUCUCCGGAGCCUGUUUUGGCACCCUGCCGGAGGGGGAAUCCAUAAUCGGUGGCCAUCUUCAUCAUCCCGACACUCUCCAUGACGAGGAGGGAGUGUUUCACCCUUGGGGCUGAGGGUAUGUACUAGUAGCUAUGUGUUUGAUCUCUCUCUCUCGUGUUCUUGAGGUGAUACGAUCUUGAUGUAUCGCGAGCUUUGCUAUUAUAGUUGGAUCUUAUGAUGUUUCUCCCCCUCUACUCUCUUGUAAUGGAUUGAGUUUUCCCUUUGAAGUUAUCUUAUCGGAUUGAGUCUUUAAGGAUUUGAGAACACUUGAUGUAUGUCUUGCCAUGCUUAUCUGUGGUGACAAUGGGAUAUUCACGUGAUCUACUUGAUGUAUGUUUUGGUGAUCAACUUGCGGGUUCAAUGAACUUAUGCAUACGGGUUGGCACACGUUUUCGUCUUGAUUCUCCGGUAGAAACUUUGGGGCACUCUUUGAAGUACUUUGUGUUGGUUGAAUAGAUGAAUCUGAGAUUGCGUGAUGCAUAUCGUAUAAUCAUGCCCACAGAUACUUGAGGUGACAUUGGAGUAUCUAGGUGACAUUAGGGUUUUGGUUGAUUUGUGUCUUAAGGUGUUAUUCUAGUACGAACUCUAUGAUAGAUCGAACGGAAAGAAUAGCUUUGUGUUAUUUUACUACGGACUCUUGAAUAGAUCGAUCAGAAAGGAUAACUUUGAGGUGGUUUCAUACCCUACAAUAAUCCCUUCGUUUGUUCUCCGCUAUUAGUGACUUUGGAGUGACUCUUUGUUGCAUGUUGAGGGAUUAUUAUAUGAUCUAAUUAUGCUAUUAUUGUUGAGAGAACUUGCACUAGUGAAAGUAUGAACCCUAGGCCUUGUUUCCUAGCAUUGCAAUACCGUCUGUGCUCACUUUUACCACUUGUUACCUUGCUGUUUUUAUAUUUUCAGAUUACAAAAACCUAUAUCCACUAUCCAUAUUGCACUUGUAUCACCAUCUCUUCGCCGAACAAGUGCACCUAUACAAUUUACCAUUGUAUUGGGUGUGUUGGGGACACAAGAGACUCUUUGUUAUUUGGUUGCAGGGUUGCUUGAGAGAGACCAUCUUCAUCCUACGCCUCCCACAGAUUGAUAAACCUUAGGUCAUCCACUUGAGGGAAAUUUUCUACUGUCCUACAAACCUCUGCACUUAGAGGCCCAACAACGUCUACAAGAAGAAGGUUGUGUAGUAGACAUCAAGCUCUUUUCUGGCGCCGUUGCUGGGGAGGUGAGUUCUUGAAGGUAUAUCUUUAGAUCUUGCAGUCGAAUCAUUUUGUUUCUUGUUUUAUCACUAGUUUAGUUUAUAAAACAAAACUAUAAAAAAAUGGAAUUGAGUUUGCCUCAUACGCUUCAUCUCUUUAAUAUCUUUCGUGAGAAUGAUGGAAAGGAAAAUUGUGCUCAAGUGCUAGAAGAAGAAGUCUAUAAAAUGUUUGGCACUAAAUCUUUGAAUGAUGAGCAUGAUUGCAAUAUUGUUAGUAUGAACUCCUUGAAUAUAUAUAGUACUAAUGAUGAUUGCACUAGUCAUGAUGAAAAUAUCUCUUAUAAGCAUGUCAAUUUUUGUGGGGUGUAUUGGGUUUGCAAGUACACUCCAAAUAGAGAAGAUAGAUAUUGCAAGAAGCACAAGCAUUUAGAAACUAAAUGGUUGCAAGAAAGGCUUAAUGUUAGUGCUAAAAAUUUAAAAUAUCUUUACCGUACUUGUGAACUUUGCAAUGAACAUGGUCAUUUAAAUCUCCGAUGCAAAUUGUUUCAUGAUCGAAUCGUGUCCAAAAAUUGUGAUGACCUGAUUUCCCUUGCACAUCAUAAUGAACUUAGUUUGCUUUUGGGUUAUGAAGAAUUGAAACGUGCAACUAAGCAUAUUCCAGAAUUUAAUCUUAAGAAUUUUCUUGAUAUUAAUCUAGAGGAAAUUUAUAUGUAUUGUAUGGUGAAUUGCAUUGAAAAUCCUUAUAUUGCCAAUUACAUAAAGAAAAGAAAGCAAAUAGAAGAUGACGAGAAUACUAAUUAAAGGGCAGAGACUUCCCAAUAUCCUCCUAUUAUUUCUUAUGAUGAAUUAGGUAACAAGGAGGAGCCUUUUAUUCAACCAAUCUCAUUAAUAAGGAGCUCCAAAAAGAGGAUUCAACCCACACAUGAUGUGAAGAAGAAAAAGAAAAGACGGAGAAGCAAACGUAAAAAGGUAUCCCUCCCAAAUGAUGUUGCUCCUACUACUCAUUGUGAUGAUGAUAAUUGCUAUACUAUUGGUGCUAUCCAUACUAUUAAUGAUGAGAUUGAUUAUGCUUAUGAUAUGAAAAGGCCCAAGCUUGGGGAAGCUAUGUUUGAUGAGGCUGAGAUAUUUGAGAAUAUAUUUGCUGCAAUUAAUGUUUGUCCCAAGCUUGGGGAUGCUAUUAAUGAAGAUGAUAUUUUUAGCCUCCCAAGUUUUGAUAUGCAAAGUUGUUAUGAUGAUAGUGUGCCUCUUACCUAUGAUGAUUAUAUUGAUGGAAGUGGGUUUGGAAGAGUGUCAACUUUAGGAAGUAAUGAUCCCACUAUUUUGGAGUAUGUUGAAUCUUAUAAUGAAUAUGAAAGUGGAUUUGGAGAGGUCAUGACUUUAUUUAGUGAUGAUUCCACUAUCUUGGAAGUGGUUUCAAUCGAUUAUGAUGAGAACAAAGUUGCUACUUAUGAUAAUUAUUGUGAUGAAACUUAUGCUAUAAAAAGUAGUGAUGAUUAUAUUUAUAAAACUUGUAAUGAUUAUGAUUACCCUUUUUCUGAACAUUACUCUUUUAAUGUGGAAACAACUUUUAGUAUUCGAGUCUCUUAUGAUACUCCCACUAUUCCGAAUAAGAAGAAUUUUGCUUAUGUGGAGAGUAGUAAAUUUUCUAUGCUUGUAGAUUAUGAAAAGAAUGCUUUAGGUGCUGGUUAUAUUGUUGAAUUCAUUCAUGAUGCUGCUGAAAAUUAUUAUGAGGGAGGAACAUAUGCUUGUAGGAAUUGCAAUAAUAUCAAGUUUCCUCUCUAUGUGUUGAAAAUCUUGAAGCUAUGCUUGUUUUACCUUCCUAUGCUAGUUGAUUAUUGUUCCCAUAAGUUGUUUGCUCACAAUAUCCCUAUUCAUACGAAGAGGGUUAGGCUUAAAUGUGCUAGUCAUAUGCUUCAUGAUGCUCUAUUUAUGUUUCAAUUCUUAUCUUUUGUGUGAGCAUCAUUGUCACCAUCAUGCCUAGCUAGAAAGGCAUUAAAGAAAAGCGCUUGUUGGGAGACAACCCAAUAUUUACCUUUACUGUUUUUGUGUGUCCACAUGUUUAUGCUGCUGUAGUAAUCAUGUUUUAUAUCUUUUGUUUCAAUAAAGUGCCAAGUAAGACCUUUAGGAUAGCUUACGGUGAUAGUUGUGUUGAUCCUGCUGAAAAUCAGAAACUUUUGCGCCCAGUAAAUUAGUUUUGAUAAUUCACCAAAACGUGAUUUUGAUCUGAUUCUUUUUGAUCUGGAUUGGUACGCAAAUUUCUUAGGAUUUCCUAAUUUGGUAGGAUUUUUGGAGUUCCAGAAGUAUACGUUUGAUACAGAUUACUACAGACUGUUCUAUUUCUGACCGAUUUUUGUUUUCUAUGUGUUGUUUGCUUAUUUUGAUCAAUCUAUGAGUAGUAUCGGAGCGUAUGAACCAUAGAGAAGUUGGAAUACAGUAGAUAUUACACAAUUAUGAAUUUAUAAUGAGUACAUAACAGUACCUAAGUGGCGAUUUAUUUUCUUAUACUAACAGAGCUUACGAGUUUUCUGUUAAGUUUAGUGUUGUGAAGUUUUCAAGUUUUGGGUAAAGAUUCGAUGGACUAUGGAAUAAGGAGUGGCAAGAGCCUAAGCUUGGGGAUGACCAAGGCACCCCAAGGUAAUAUUUAAGGACAACCAAUAGUCUAAGCUUGGGGAUGCCCCGGAUGGCAUCCCCUCUUUCGUCUUCAUUCAUCGGUAACUUUACUUGGAGCUAUAUUUUUAUUCACCACAUGAUAUGUGUUUUGCUUGGAGUGUCAUUUUGUUUUAUUUUGUUUUACUUGCUGUUUGAAUAAAAUACCAAGAUCUGAAAUUCUUAAAUGUUAGAGAGUCUUCACAUAGUUACAUAAUUAUUCAACUACUCAUUGAUCUUCACUUAUAUCUUUCGGAGUAGUUUGUCUUUUGCUCUAGUGCUUCACUUAUAUCCUUUUAGAGAACGGUGGUGGCUUUAUUUUGUAGAAAUUGUUGAUCUCUCAUGCUUCACUUAUAUCAUUUUGAGAGUCUUUUAGAACAACAUGGCAUUUUCUAUGGUUAUAAAAUUGGUCCUAGAAUGAUGGGAAUCCAAGUUGGGUAUAAUAAAAACUAUCAUAGAAAGUGAAUUGGAUGCUAUGAUCAAUUUGAUGCUUUAUAAUUGUUUGAGAUAUGAGGAUGGUGAUAUUAGAGUCAUGCUAGUGGAGUGAUUAUGAAUUCGAGGAAUACUUGUGUUGAAGUUUGUGAUUCCCGUAGCAUGCACAUAUGGUGAACCGCUUUGUGAUGAAGUUGGAGCACAAUUUAUUUAUUGAUUUUCUUCCUUAUGAGUGGCGAUCUGGGACGAGCGAUGGUCUUUUCCUACCAAUCUAUCGCCCUAGGAGCGUGCACAUAGUACUUUGUUUCAAUGGCUUGUAGAUUUUUGCAAUAAGUAUAUGAGUUCUUUAUGACCAAUGUUGAGUCCAUGGAUUAUACGCACUCUCACCCUUACACCAUUGCUAGCCUCUCUUGUGCCGCGCAACUUUCGCCGGUACCAUACACUCACCAUAUACCUUCCUCAAAACAGCCACCAUACCUACCUAUUAUGGCAUUUCCAUAGCCAUUCCGAGAUAUAUUGCCAUGCAACUUUCCACUGUUCCGUUUAUUAUGACACGCAUCAUCAUUGUCAUAUUGCUCUUUGCAUGAUCAUGUAGUUGACAUCGUAUUUGUGGCAAGGCCACCUUCAUAAUUUUCAUACAUGUCACUCUUGAUUCAUUGCAUAUCCCGGUACACCGCUGGAGGCAUCCACAUAGAGUCAUAUUUUGUUCUAAGUAUCGAGUUGUAAGUAAAUAAAAGUGUGAUGAUCUUCAUUAUUAGAGCAUUGUCCCAAGUGAGGAAAGGAUGAUGGAGACUAUGAUUCCCCCACAAGUCGGGAUGAGACUUCAGACUUAAAAAAAAGAGAAAGGCCAUAAAAAGAGAAAGGCCAUAAAAAAAGAGAAAGGCCAUUAAAAAAGGAAGGCCCAAAAAAAAUGAGAGAAAAAGAGAGAAGGGACAGUGCUACUAUCCUUUUACCACACUUGUGAUUCAAAGUGGCACCAUGAUCUUCAUGAUAGAGAGUCUCCUAUGUUGUCACUUUCAUAUACUAGUGGGAAUUUUUCAUUAUAGAACUUGGCUUGUAUAUUCCAAUGAUGAGCUUCCUCAAAAUGCCCUAGGUCUUUGUGAGCAAGCAAGUUGGAUGCACACCCACUUAGUCUCUUUUGUUGAGCUUUCAUACAUUUAUAGAUCAAGUGCAUCUGUUGCAUGGCAAUCCCUACUCAGUCACAUUGAUAUCUAUUAAUGGGCAUCUCCAUAGCCUGUUGAUACGCCUAGUUGAUGUGAGACUAUCUUCUCCUUUUUUGUAUUCUCCACAACCACCAUUCUAUUCCACAUAUAGUGCUAUGUCCAUGGCUCAUGCUCAUGUAUUGCGUGAAAAUUGAAAAAGUUUGAGAUUACUAAAGUAUGAAACAAUUGCUCGGCUUGUCAUCGGGAUUGUGCAUGAUUAAAUAAUUUGUGUGAUGAAGAUAGAGCAACAGCCAGACUAUAUGAUUUUGUAGGGAUAACUUUCUUUAGCCAUGCUAUUUUGAGAAGACAUGAUUGCUUUAUUAGUAUGCUUGAAGUAUUACUAUUCUUAUGUCAAUAUGAACUUUUAUUUUGAAUCAUUUGGAUCUGAACAUUCAUGCCACAAUAAAGGAAAUUACAUUGAGAAUUAUGCUAGAUAGCAUUCCACAUCAAAAAUUCUGUUUUUUAUCAUUUACCUACUCGAGGAUGAGCAGGAAUUAAGCUUGGGGAUGCUUGAUAUGUCUCCAACAUAUCUAUAAUUUUUGAUUGUUCCAUGCUAUUAUAUUACCUGUUUUGGAUGUUUAUGGGCUUUACUAAACAUUUUUAUAUCAUUUUUUGGGACUAACCUAUUAACCGGAGGCCCAGCCCAAAUUGCUGUUUUCUUGCCUAUUUCAAUGUUUCGAAGAAAAGGAAUAUCAAACGGAGUCCAAACGGAAUGAAACCUUCGGGGAAGUUAUUUUUGGAACGGAAGCAAUCCAGGGGACUUGGAGUUCAUGUAAGGGAAGCUUCGAGGUGGCCACGAGACAGGGAGGUGCACCCUCCCCUGGGCGCGCCCCCACCCUCGUGGGCCCCUCGUGGCUCCCCUGACCGACUUCUUUCGCCUAUAUAUGUCCUUAUACCCUAAAAACAUUGAGUACAACAAAAGAUCGGGAGUUCCGCCGGUGCAAGCCUCUGUAGCCAUGAAAAACCUCUCGGCAGCCCGUUCCGGCACCCUGCCGGAGGCGGAAUCCAUCACCGGUGGUCAUCUUCACCAUCCCCGCACUCUCCAUGACAAGGAGGGAGUAGUUCACCCUCGGGGCUGAGAGUAUGUACCAGUAGCUAUGUGUUUGAUCUCUCUCUCUCUCUCGUGUUCUUGAGGUGAUAUGAUCUUGAUGUAUCGCGAGCUUUGCUAUUAUAGUUGGAUCUUGUGAUGUUUCUCCCCCUCUACUCUCUUGUAAUGGAUUGAGUUUUUCCUUUGAAGUUAUCUUAUCGGAUUGAGUCUUUAAGGAUUUGAGAACACUUAAUGUAUGUCUUGCCGUGCUUAUCUGUGGUGACAAUGGGAUAUUCACGUCAUCUACUUGAUGUAUGUUUUGGUGAUCAACUUGUGGGUUCAAUGAACUUAUGCAUAGGGUUUGGCACACGUUUUCGUCUUGAUUCUCCGGUUGAAACUUUGGGGCACUCUUUGAAGUACUUUGUGUUGGUUGAAUAGAUGAAUCUGAGAUUGUGUGAUGCAUAUCGUAUAAUCAUGCCCACGGAUACAUGAGGUGACAUUGGAGUAUCUACGUGACAUUAGGGUUUUGGUUGAUUUGUGUCUUAAGGUGUUAUUCUAGUACGAACUCUAUGAUAGAUCGAACGGAAAGAAUAGCUUUGUGUUAUUUUACUACGGACUCUUGAAUAGAUCGAUCAGAAAGGAUAACUUUGAGGUGGUUUCAUACCCUACAAUAAUCCCUUCGUUUGUUCUCCGCUAUUAGUGACUUUGGAGUGACUCUUUGUUGCAUGUUGAGGGAUUAUUAUAUGAUCUAAUUAUGCUAUUAUUGUUGAGAGAACUUGCACUAGUGAAAGUAUGAACCCUAGGCCUUGUUUCCUAGCAUUGCAAUACCGUCUGUGCUCACUUUUACCACUUGUUACCUUGCUGUUUUUAUAUUUUCAGAUUACAAAAACCUAUAUCUACUAUCCAUAUUGCACUUGUAUCACCAUCUCUUCGCCGAACUAGUGCACAUAUACAAUUUACCAUUGUAUUGGGUGUGUUGGGGACACAAGAGACUCUUUGUUAUUUGGUUAUAGGGUUGCUUGAGAGAGAUGCUACGUCUUGAGCUUGCGUUGGUUUUCCUCGAAGGGGAGAGGGUGAUGCAGCAAAGUGUAGCGUAAGUAUUUCCCUCAGUUUUGAGAACCAAGGUAUCAAUACAGUAGGAGGCUCCUCAAAAGUCCCACGCACCUACACAAACAAACUGAGAACUCGCAACCAAUGCAAUAAAGGGGUUGUCAAUCCCUUCUCGGCCACUUGCGAAAGUGAGAUCUAAUAAAGAUAAUAUUAUAAGAUAAAUAUUUUUUUGAUAUUUUAUGAUAUAGAUGCAAAAAGUAAAGAUGCAAAUAAAAGUAGAUUGGGAGCAAAUAUGAUAAGAGAUAGACCCGGGGGCCAUAGGUUUCACUAGAGGCUUCUCUCAAGAUAGCAUAAGAAUUACGGUUGGUGAACAAAUUACUGUCGAGCAAUUGAUAGAAAAGCGCAUAGUUAUGAGAUUAUCUAGGCAUGAUCAUGUAUAUAGGCAUCACAUCCAUAACAAGUAGACCGACUCCUUCCUGCAUCUACUACUAUUACUCCACACAUCGACUGACUCCUGCCUGCAUCUAGAGUAUUAAGUUCAUAAGAAUAGAGUAAUGCAUUAAGCAAGAUGACAUGAUGUAGAGGGAUAAACACAUGCAAUAUGAUAUAAACCCCAUCUUGUUAUCCUCGAUGGAAACAAUACAAUACGUGCCUUGCAACCCUUUCUGUCACUGGGUAAGGACACCGCAAGAUUGAACCCAAAGCUAAGCACUUCUCCCAUGGAAAGAAAGACCAAUCUAGUAGGCCAAACCAAACUGAUAAUUCGAGGAGACUUGCAAAGAUAACUCAAUCAUACAUAAAAGAAUUCAUAGAAGAUUCAAAUAUUAUUCAUAGAUAAACUUGAUCAUAAACCCACAAUUCAUCGGAUCUCGACAAACACACCGCAAAAAGAGUUUACAUCGAAUAGAUCUCCACAAGAGAGGGGGAGAACAUUGUAUUGAGAUCCAAAAAGAGAGAAGAAGCCAUCUAGCUAAUAACUAUGGACCCGUAGGUCUGUGGUAAACUACUCAAAACUCAUCGGAGGGGCAAGGAUGUUGAUGUAGAAGCCCUCCUUGGUUGAUCCCCCCCGGCAGAGUGCCGACGAAGGCUCCAAGAUGAGAUCUCGCGGAUACAGAAUGUUACGGCGGUGGAAAUUGUGUUUCGUGGUGCCCCUAGAUGUUUUCGGGGUACGUAGGUAUAUAUAGGAGGAAGAAGUACGUCGGUGGCCGCCCGAGGGGCCCACGAGACAGGGGGGCGCGUCCUACAGGGGGGGGGGGGCGCAACCCCCUAUCUCGUGGGGCCCUCGGAAGCUUCUUGACUUGCACUCCAAGCUCUCCGGAUCACGUUCGUUCCAAAAAUCAUGCUCCCGAAGGUUUCAUUCCGUUUGGACUCCAUUUGAUAUUCCUUUUCUUCGAAAUACUGAAAUAGGUAAAAAACAACAAUAUGGGCUGGGCCUCCAAUUAGUAGGUUAGUCCCAAAAAUGAUAUAAAUGUGUAAAAUAAAGCCCAUAAGCAUCCAAAAGAGGUAAUAUAAUAGCAUGGAACAAUCAAAAAUUAUAGAUACGUUGGAGACGUAUCAAGCAUCCCCAAGCUCAAUUCCUGCUCGUCCUCUAGUAGGUAAAUGAUAAAAAGAGAAAUUUUGAUGUGGAAUUCUACCUAGCAUAAUUCAUAAUGUAAUUUUCUUUAUUGUGGCAUGAAUAUUCGGAUCCAAAUGAAUACAAAAUAAAAGUUCAUAUGAUAAAAGAAAUAGUAUCACUUCAAGCACACUAAUCACAGUAAUCAUGUCUUCUCAAAAUAGCAUGGCAAAAGAAAGUUCAUCCCUACAAAAUCAUAUAGUUAGGCUAUGCUUCAUUUUCGUCACACAAAGAUGUUCCCAACUUCUAUACCCCCAAUGACAAGCCAAGCAAUUGUUUCAUACUUAAAUAAUCUCAAACUUUUUCAACCUUCACGCAAUACAUGAGCGUGAGCCAUGGAUAUAGCACUAUGGGUGGAAUAGAAUAUGAUGAUGGGGAUUGUGUGGAGAAGACAAAAAAGGAGAAAGUCUCACAUUGUCGAGGAUAAUUAACGGGCUAUGGAGAUGCCCAUCAAUUGAUGUCAACAUGAGGAGUAGGGAUUGCCAUGCAACGGAUGCACUAGAGCUAUAAAUGAAUGCUCAACAAAAGAAAACUAGUGGCUGUGCAUCCAACUUGCUUGCUCACGAAGACCUAGAGCAUUUGAGGAAGCCCAUCGUAGGAAUAUACAAGCCAAGUUCUAUAAUGAAAAAUUCCCACUAGUAUGAAAAAGACAACUUAUGAGACUUACUAUAUGAAAAACAUGGUGCUACUUUGAAGCACAAUAUAUGAGACUCCCUACAUGGAGAACAAAGUGCUACUUUGAAGCACAAGUGUGGAUAAAGAGAUAGUGACAUUGCCCUUUUUAUUUUUUUUUAUUUUUUUGGGUCUUUCUUUUUUUCUUUUUGGCCUUUCUCUUUUUUGGGCAAUGCUCUAAUAAUGAUGAUCAUCACACUUCUAUUGAUUACAACAUAUGAAUUACAACUCGAAACUAGAACAAGAUAUGACUCUAUAUGAAUGCCUCCAGUGGUGUACCGGGAUGGUGCAAUGAAUCAAGAGUGACAUGUAUGAAAAAUAAUGCAUGGUGGCUUUGCCACAAAUACGAUGUCAACAACAUGAUCAUGCAAUGGCAAUAUGACAAAAGUAAAGUAUGUCAUGAUGAUGAUGAACGGAACGGUGGAAAGUUGCAUGGCAAUAUAUCUCGGAAUGGCUAUGGAAAUGCCAUAAUAGGUAGGUAUGGUGGCUGUUUCGAGGAAGAUAUAAGGAGGUUUAUGUGUCAUAGAGCGUAUCGUAUCACGGGGUUUGGAUGCACCGGCGAAGUUUGCACCAACUCUCAAGGUGACACUACAAGAAAUCUGUUAAUACGUGACGGUACAUGUCUGUCACAAAUGAGUGGAAAACUGUCAUGGGUGGCCAUGCAUGACGGACUUGAUGUCCGUCAUGUAUAUCGCGUCAUAAUUUGACAUCCCGCCUUCCUUGACGGGUCUUGACCGUCAUGGAUCUACCCCAAGCCCGCCCAGGCCCAAACCAUUGUGACGGAACCAAGCCGUCAUAGCCUGAUGCCACGUUGGAUUUUUGAUUCGCCAAUUGGAAUGAUGUGGCUGCCUAUGUGGAUACUACUUUUUGUCACAGAAAUCGUCACGAAUGUAGGCACAAUUUAAAUAUGGUCCAUCCAAUUCCUUUCUACCCAAUUUUGACACCAUAUAUGUUUUAGCCAAUUUUGGCUCAAAGAGAAAGUAAUUUCAAACCGUUCACACAAUAUGCGGCCAUCUAUAUUUAUAUGUUUUCUCGAAAAAAUCUGUUUGUAUAUACAACAUAGUAGUUUACAAAUCCUUCAUCUAAUGAUAACUUACAACAUAGAUUCACUAAAUAUAUUACUGAAGAAGGUUAAGAAGCACUACAAUCCAGUUUACAUCAACAAAACAUACAAACUUUUGAGGCUGCUGUUCAGGUUCUUCGUCGACUCUCCUGAUGGCAACUAUCAUGUCAUGGCGAGGAUUAUGGUGGGUAGCACUAUGUAGCCCACUACCCAAUCAUACCUAGCACAUUUAAAAGAACAUUAGAUUUUUGCAGAUUCAUAGAUAGUAGAGACAAGAGUAUUACAACAAGUGUAAAAAUGUAUUACAUGUCCACUUGGCCAGCAUUGAGAGUACUAUUACUUAUAACAGGAAAAGUAAUGAAAUGAAACAAACCAGUAUAUUUGUAUAGAAGGUGACAAGAACUACAAAUAUAAUUUAUUACAUGGCUUACAAAUUACUUCAUGGUUAUUAAGGUACAUGCUAAAUCAUAAAACACGAACACCAACAGCAAGUGUUAUUAUGAACUGGAUAACCUUGCAACACCCAAUUGCUCUCAUCUACUCACUUGACCAGCAUAGUACUGUUAUUUAUAACAGGAAAUAAUAAUGAAAGGAACCAAUAUACAUGUAUACAUGACAACAUUAGGAACAAGAAAUCAGAGAAAGAGAUUCAAGUCAUAGUGAACUCAAGGACAUAAGAGAGAAGAUAAAUUGGAUUGUUUUAUAUAAAAUCAAAGUUCAGAAAUGUGCAGAGAUAUUCAGUGGUGGACGUUGGGAGGACCAUAAUUAUUUUUGUAUACACUAUCUAAUUGCAUGUGCGUUGCAACGGGAAUAUACAUAUUCUAGUUGUUCAUACAUCUUCCAGUUGUUCAACACCAAUCUUGGCUAACAUAUAUUUUUAGGAUCCUGAUGCACAUUAGGCCGAAUUGUAAAAAAAAAAUCUUCCUCUCCACACACUAUCUCAGUCAUACAGAUCCAUGUUAUCAAUUCCCUUUCCUCGCCCAUUCACACACACUUUGAAUUUAAAACACAUAACCAUCCAGCUGGCAUAUUUCACAAUGUGCUUAUCUUGACAAGGCAUGUCUACCAUUUUCAAUUGUGUCACGUAAACUUCCCCCUCUCCCUAUCCUCUCCUCUCUUCAACCCUCAAUUACUCAACAGAUUCAGACAUUUUGAUGUGCAGCAACAUAUUUUAUUAAUAUUAUGGUACCACAAAUUCAUAUAUUUGUUGAAUUGACACACAUGUUUGACGACCAAUUUUAUGGAGAAAAAGAACCAACACACGAGACAAACAACUAAAUGGAUAUUUUGUAUUCCUUUUCAUAUGUUUGGUAGCAAGGUAAUAUGUGUAGUCAUUUAUUGUUCCUUCUUAUUUGACAAUUGCUUACAGAUCUUAAUGACACGAGACUGAUUAACAUCACAAGUCUAAAAAAACAAUAUUGAUAACAAGAAAAGGUAGAUAUCUAAAAAGUGUACUCGUUUGCGGUGUUGUCUAGUGAAAGAUAAAAAGAAUGUUUCCUUACCAACAGAUUCCCAAUUUCUCUUGAUGUCAUCAACUCCAGCAAAGUGAAAGCUUCUAGCAUAAACAAACUCUGAGGAUCUGACAUGUAAAUCCUCCUGGAGAGUUACAGUCCACUAUGCUAUCAUGGGCCGGUACUGUUACAUGAAGCAGACAGGUGAGUUUUAAAGAUUGAUAUGCAUGGAUCAUACCUAACCUUUACUUGCAUGAAUCGAGAAGUACAGUGUAACUAAAAUCAUGAUGUGCAAUUUGUAGAAUGAAUGGUUUCAGUGUUUCGUUGUCAAUGUCAACCAAUCAAAUCAGCGCACCAUUCACGGAGAGCCUGGUCAAAUCAACAUUUUACUUUCUUCAUCUCCUCUAUGUGCAUGUAUAUUAGCAUUGCGUUCGAAACACACAUAGCCUCGCACCCUUUAGCAUCAGGAUUAUAAUAAUCAAAGGAUACCAGAUUCAGCAAAAGGUUGUACAUGCAUCAGGUCAUACUGUGUAUCAGACGAUGGGUGCACAACACGUCCGGCCGGCGGCAAGUAGACGCAUCAACCUUGUUCCUGCACAUCAAACCAGCUGUGGCAUGGCUUCUACAUGAUCUCUCCUUCGGUGCAGGGACCUUGGGAUGGGGCUGCGAUGCCUCACGAUGGUGGAAACCAGGCACAUCUGCCAAGCCGCCAAAUAUCUUUGUGAAUAUAAGAAGGUUUCAGUCCAACUAAAUCAUAAUCUGUUUAUAUAGCAGUAAUAAUAAAUCUAUUUAUACACAAGGAGCAGAAAUCGUAAUCCUAGCCAAAAGUAAGGAAAAGGGAAACCAAUCUGCUGCAUGCUAAGUAAGCUCCAAAUCUCUACAUCAGAUGAAAGGAGAUCAGAAUUUGAUUAUGAAAUAGCAGUAGUGUAUUCGAACGACUACCUAUGCAUUGUAAGGGCAUCCGUAACCUAGAGAGAGGGAACCAAGCAACCUUUCCUUUGUAGGAAUCCACGACCACAACGUCAUCCGGAGGCGGCAAAAGAACUUGGAAGGGGGUCGCGUGGCAGCACAAGGCCACGAUGUUGAGGAAGCUAACAGGAGAGGUGGGAGCCGCGCUGGUAACCAGUGGCGACUAGGGUUUGCUGGUGCUUCCAGCCGUCGCAGUAGACCGCCUUCCACAGCAUGGCCGCUCCACUUCCACAAGGCUGACGUCGGGGUUGAGUUCCGCGUCAGAUCUGCGCGUGCCCAAGAUGCCACUGCGAUUGCAGCUUGUAGGAGACGAGGGAGAGGUGCCAUUAAAGUGGAGAGGGUGAUGCAGCAAAGUGUAGCGUAAGUAUUUCCCUCAGUUUUGAGAACCAAGCUAUCAAUCCAGUAGGAGGCUCCUCAAAUGUCCCACGCACCUACACAAACAAACUAAGAACUCGCAACCAACGCAAUAAAGGGGUUGUCAAUCCCUUCACGGCCACUUGCGAAAGUGAGAUCUAAUAAAGAUAAUAUGAUAAGAUAAAUAUAUUUUUGGUAUUUUAUGAUAUAGAUGCAAAAAGUAAAGAUGCAAAUAAAAGUAGAUUGGGAGCAAAUAUGAUAAGUGAUAGACCCAGGGGCCAUAGGUUUCACUAGAGGCUUCUCUCAAGAUAGCAUAAGUAUUACGGUGGGUGAACAAAUUACUAUCGAGCAAUUGAUAGAAAAUCGCAUAGUUAUGAGAUUAUCUAGGCAUGAUCAUGUAUAUAGGCAUCACGUCCAUAACAAGUAGACCGACUCCUGCCUGCAUCUACUACUAUUACUCCACACAUCGACCGACUCCUGCCUGCAUCUAGAGUAUUAGGUUCAUAAGAACAGAGUAACGCAUUAAGCAAGAUGACAUGAUGUAGAGGGAUAAACACAUGCAAUAUGAUAUAAACCCCAUCUUGUUAUCCUCGAUGGCAACAAUAAAAUACGUGCCUUGCAACCCUUUCUGUCACUGGGUAAGGACACCGCAAGAUUGAACCCAAAGCUAAGCACUUCUCCCAUGGCAAGAAAGACCAAUCUAGUAGGCCAAACCAAACUGAUAAUUCGAGGAGACUUGCAAAGAUAACUCAAUCAUACAUAAAAGAAUUCAGAUAAGAUUCAAAUAUUAUUCAUAUAUAAACUUGAUCAUAAACCCACAAUUCAUCGGAUCUCGACAAACACACCGCAAAAAGAGUUUACAUCAAUAGAUCUCCACAAGAAAGGGGGAGAACAUUGUGUUGAGAUCCAAAAAGAGAGAAGAAGCCAUCUAGCUAAUAACUAUGGACCCGUAGGUCUGUGGUAAACUACUCACAACUCAUCGGAGGGGCAAGGGUGUUGAUGUAGAAGCCCUCCGUGGUUGAUUCCCCCUCCGGCAGAGUGCCGGCGAAGGCUCCAAGAUGAGAUCUCGCGGAUACAGAAGGUUACGGCGGUGGAAAUUGUGUUUCGUGGUGCCCCUGGAUGUUUUCGGGGUACGUAGGUAUAUAUAGGAGAAAGAAGUACGUCGGUGGCCGCCCGAGGGAACCACGAGACAGGGGGCGUGCCCUACAGGGGGGGGUGGCCCCCUCUCUCAUGGGGCCCUCGGAAGCUUCUUGACUUGCACUCCAAGCUCUCCGGAUCACGUUCAUUCCAAAAAUCACGCUCCCGAAGGUUUCAUUCUGUUUGGACUCCGUUUGAUAUUCCUUUUCUUCGAAAUACUGAAAUAGGCAAAAAACAGCAAUAUGGGCUGGGCCUCCGGUUAGUAGGUUAGUCCCGAAAAUGAUAUAGAUGUGUAAAAUAAAGCCCAUAAACAUCCAAAAUAGGUAAUAUAAUAGCAUGGAACAAUCAAAAAUUAUAGAUACGUUGGAGACGUAUCAAGAGACCAUCUUCAUCCUAUGCCUUCCACGGAUUGAUAAACCUUAGGUCAUCCACUUGAGGGAAAUUUGCUACUGUCCUACAAACCUCUGCAUUUGGAGGCCCAACAACGUCUACAAGAAGAAGGUUGUGUAGUAGACAUCAAUCCCCUUGCCGUUUAAUGGAAUUCUUGGCCGCUCGGCAUUGGCCAAGUUCAUGGCAGCAUCUCAUUAUGCCUACAACACGUUGAAGAUGUCAGGGCCCAUAGGAGUCAUUUCCAUUAAUUCUAACAAGAGGGAUGCAGUCAUAUGUCUUGGAAAGCUCUAUAGAGAUGUGGUUGCAGCGGAGACCGUCAAGGCUAUAGCUCUCGCCGAAGAGAAGAAGAAGAUCGGAAAGCCCGACAAGACAUCUAGUGAGAAUUUCGGGUAGUGCGCCUCUUCGGAGUGCCGCGCACCCGUUGAAGACUUGUCAGAGAGCUCUACCGGCAAGAGGUCCAAAGCUACUCCACCCGCGACAAAGAAGGUGCCGACAAGGGAGGACAACACUGGCGGUACCUUCACCAUCAGUGCCACCUUUAUAGUAAAUAGGAAAGUGCACUCAUUGCCUUCCUGCGGGUGAAUGUAGAUGUGUUUGCAUGGCAACCAUAUGACAUCCCCGGUGUCCCCAGGGAGGUAAUUGAUCACCACCUUGUUGUCUGUCCCCAUGCUCGACCUGUCAAGAGGAAGGUCAAGAAGCAAGCUUUGGAAUGGCAACACUUUAUUUCUGAGGAAAUUAAGAAACUUGAGGCAGCUGGUCUGGUUAGAGGAGUGUUGCACCCAACUUGGUUGGCUAAUCCAGUGGUUGCGCGCAAGGCAAAUGAAAAGUGGAGACUUUGUAUUGAUUACAAUAAUCUCAAUAAAGCAUGUCCAAAGGAUCCUUUCCCCUUUCCGCGUAUUGAUCAAAUUGUGGACUCCACCACUAGCUGAGAGCUGCUCUCGUUUCUUGAUGCAUAUUCUUGGUACCAUCAAAUAUUCAUGGCCAAGGAAGAUGAGGAGAAGACCGCAUUCAUUACUCCAUGUAGCACAUACUGCUUCGUGCUUAUUCCUUUCGGAUUAAUGAGUGCCGGUUCAAUGUUUGCAAGAGCAGUACAGAUUGGUUUUGAGCCAUAGCUACACAGGAACAUCGAAGCUUACAUGGAUGAUAUAGUGGUCAAAACCAAGGACAAGUCUACCCUCAUCCAUGAUUUAGAAGAAACUUUUGCAAACUUGCACAUAAUUAACAUGAAGCUAAGCCCUGAGAAGUGCAUGUUUGGUGUCCCAUCUGGCAAACUCCUUGAGUUCUUUGUGUCUCAGUGUGGGAUAGAAGCAAACCCUGACAAGAUCAAAGCUAUUGAGCAAAUCCAAGGAACUAGGACUGCCAGGGAUGUGUGGCAUCUUGCCGGCAGCGUUGGUGCUUUGAGUAGGUUCAUUUCAAGGUCUGCCGAGUGCGCCCUGCCUUUUUCAAGAUAUUGAAAAAGGCAGGUCCAGUAAAAUGGACUUCAUAACUAGCGGAUGCGCUGCAAGAUCUGAAAAGGUGCCUAUCCUUUGCACCAACACUAGUUGCGCCUAGAACCCAGGAGCCGUUGUUGCUAUAUUUAGCAGCAACAAAAUAGGUGGUCAGUGCUGCACUAGUGGCACAAAGAGAAGUUGCUCACGGUGAGACAACAAUGGCAAGCACGUCCUGUAAUGGGGCAGAAUGUUCUCUGGUAGACCCAGGCACUGGCAAAGCUGAAAUGGUGCAAGCAAGAGAAGUUGAUCAACAAAUGAUAGAAAGGAAUAAGGUGGUGCAGUGUCCAGUGUACUUUGUUAGUUCUCUCCUGCAAGGGGAUAGGUCACAGUACUCUGGUGUAAAGAAACUUCUUUUCGGCCUCCUCAUGGCCUCGAGAAAGCCGUGACACUACUUCCAAGCACAUGAUAUCACUGUCAUCACUCGCUUUGAGUUGCUGCGUAUUCUAAGGAAUCUAGAGGCAACCGACAGGAAGUAGAUCGAGUGGGCGUCAGAAUUGUCAAGUUUUGCACUCAAGUUUGAGAGCACUUCGACUAUUCAGAGCAGAGAAUUAGCGGAAUUCAUUGCAGAAUGGAUGCCAACGAGGAUGAGGAAAUCCCAGAGUCAACUCUCCACAGCAAGGAAACCGAUAAGGAAUGGGUCAUGUACUUUGAGAUGCCUUUUCGCUGCAAGGCGCCAGUGCUGGAGUGCUGCUUCUCGCACCCACCGGAGAGCACCUCAAGUAUGUGAUUCAAAUGCACUUUCCCAGGGAAGAGGCAACCAAGAAUACUGCUGAAUAUGAGGGGCUCCUUGCCGGGCUCAGGAUAGCAGUGGAAUUGGGGAUCAAGAAAUUGACUGUUCGCUGAGAUUCACAGCUCCUUGUGAAGCAAGUGAAUAAAGAUUACUAGAGCCCGUCGAUGGACACGUAUGUAGAUGAGAUGAGGAAAUUGGAGGAUCACUUUGAUGGGUUACAAAAAAUGCACGUCCCCAGUGCAGAGAACAACAUUGUUGACCACCUGUCAAAGUGUGCUGCCCAAAAAUACCUAUGGAACAAGGGACUGUUGUACUCCACUUGAAUCAACCAUUAGUUACUCCGUCAACGUGAGCCAAAAAGAGGAGGAAGUUGAAUACUGGUGAGUAUUUUCCGGCAGAGCUUCCCAGAGCCACCAGCGAGAAUAUUGCCAGGAAAGACGAUGCGUUGGACGGUGAGUUGCAGUUCCGCACAGAACCUCAGGUUCUCCUUGCUGACAAUAGCGCUCCCACAUCUACAGAAAUGCCUUUAGUCCUUGUGUCGAGCCACAAACUCCAGCAUGGGCACAACACAUAGUUCAGUUUCUCCAAACAGGCGAACUUCCCGAUGAGCAAGAGAAAGCUGAGAAAGUAACCUGCCAGUCAAGUAUGUAUCAAUUUGUGGACAACAUUCUGUACAGAAAAAGACCAAACAGAGUGAAAUUAAAGUGCAUUUACCGGGAAUAUGGACUCAAGUUAUUGGCAGGGAUACAUGGAGGCAUAUGUUGCUUUCACAUAGGAUCAAGAGCCCUUGUCAUGAAAGCUUUUCGACAAGGUUUUUAUUGGCCCACAACCCUCCAGGAUGCAAUUGAGGUAGUAAAAAGAUGUGAAGCAUGCCAGUUCCAUUCAAAGAGCGUACACCAACCAGCGCAAGUUCUCCGGACGAUCCCUCUCUCCUGGCCUUUUUUGGUCUGGGGGCUCGAUAUCUUGGGCCCCUUCCAUCGUGCUACCAGGGGCUUUGAGUUCUUGUAUGUUGCCAUUGACAAAUUCACAAAGUGGCCUGAAGUAGAGCUAGUGAGAAAGGUGACAACACAGUCGGCCGUCAAAUUCUUUAAAGGACUAGUUUGUUGUUUUGGAGUUCCAAACAGAAUUAUCAUCAACAAUGACACACACUUCACGAGCCUCACCUUCAUGCAGUACAUCUAGAGCCUUGGUAGCAAGGUUUUCUUUGUCUCCAUUGCUCACCCAAGAAGCAAUGGGCAAGAAGAGAGGAUGAAUACUACAGUGUUGCGCAGUCUCAAGACGAGAACAUUUGACAUGCUGCACAAAUGCGGGAGACGUUGGUCUCUUAGGACGACACCAAAUCGAGCCAGUGGCCAAACACCCUUCUCCCUAGUUUAUGAUGCAGAGGCGGUGCUACCCACAGAACUCAUAUACAGGUCACCUUGAGUAUUUGCCUACGACGAAGUAGAGCAAGAGUAGCUCUGGUAUGACGAGCUCCUCGAGGAAGAUCAUCUUUGGGAAGUUCUGUGAGCUACAUGCAAUCAGCAAGCCUUGUGCCGCUAUCAUAGCCACAAGAUUCAUGCCCAAAGCCUUGAGGAAGGCCACCUCAUCCUUCGGUGUGUCCAGUCCGCCAAAGGAACAAACAACUUGACGCCAAAGUGGGAAGGCCCUUAUCGGGUAGUACGAGUCAUCAGACCUGGCGCAAUCCGUCUGGAGACCAAAUAUGGCAUUCGCGUGCAAAACUAGUGGAAUAUCGAGCAUCUUCGCAAGUUCUACCCAUGAGGCGCAGUUGUCGGGCUUUGUCCCGGCAACCCCUUUUGUAUAAGCCUGUUCACAAAGACUUGUAACCCUUUGUACAAAGCCAGGCGCAGACCCUGUGCAUAUGUGAAUAAAGAUAAGUGUUUCACAAAUUCUUGUACAUAUUUACUUACGUACUAAUGCAUGAUAUGAUGUGAUUAUACUUAGUCUAAAUUAAAUGGCUAAUAUACCGCCAAAAUCUCCAUUAUGUCUUUUUCUCAUCUUUCUUUUUCACAUUUUUCCCGGGGGGGGGGAGGGCGAUGGAUUACCAUUUUCAGAUGACGUUUGGCGUGAUUGGCAUUCAUCUCAUUUCAUACGAUAAGAAGUACAACAAAGAAAGAUAAGUUUCUUUAUUACAUUUGGAAUUUUUCCUUGUUUCGGAUCUAUGCAUGUAUGAAAAACCUACACGCAAGGGAAACUUGUCGUGUUUCGUUCGUGCUCUUAUCCUUGCCUCGAGUCCACUCGACGGGGUUGUUUGCAGCUGCGUCGGGACCGACAAAGUUGCCUUGUCGGGUACCUUACUUACAACAGGCUGCCAAGGACCAGUCCUUCGAAGCGCCCGUAACAAGUAUGCAUCCCGGCAAGUUUACCAACUGCGUAGGCUAGCGGAUUCAAAUCAUACAAAAAUAAAUAUGGACAAGGGAAAUAGUACAUGUUUAUUUGACCGCGGCAAAUAUUACACAUGUGGUAAAUAAAAGUGUUCGGUAAUGUUUCUUAUAGCCCUUUAUUUCUAGGGUUUACAUCAAGUGCAACCCAUGGCAAAAGGGGCACCUACGCAGAGUGCUCCCAGCAAGUCAUCUUGCUAGUGUCCAGCUUCAGAUGAUGGUGCUGCCGGUUCUCAGCUGGUGAUGAUGGUGCUACCGGCAUUCAGCUGGAGUCCGAGUCGUCGUCUUCGGACUUGACACUCAGGGUCUUGUCGUCGUUGUCUUCUCCAUCUGCCUCCUGCUCGUCACUGUCGCUCGAGAAGGAGCUUUCGCUGUUGCUCGAGCUCUCCGCACAACACUCUAGGCAAGUGCCCGAAGGCCUGAAGAACUUCACGGAGAGCGUAUCGGACUCCACCGACUUGAAGUGGAGGAGAUGCCCCUCUGCCAGGUAGCGGGCACUAGCGAAUGAUUUCCACCCUCGCGUGAGGUACAUGACGCCGCUGAUGGGGAACUUGGCAUUCACCCACACGGAGCCAUUGAGGUAGCCGUUCACGUGCAGCCACAGACCAAGCGGCUAGUACAUUGGGGGAAUAAGAAAACUCACAUUGAGGUCUGGUCUAGUACACUAGCUGAUUAUUCAAAGUUGAGAGUUUUCAGUUGCACUACAUAUGCACACAUUGAUAAUGGAAAACUUGAGCCUAGAGCUAUUAAGUGUGUGUUUGUUGGUCAUGGUUCCGGAGUAAAGAGAUACAAAUUAUUGAUAACCCACAAGUGUAGGGGAUCUAUCAUAGUCCUUUGGAUAAAUAAGAGUGUCGAACCCAACGAGGAGCAGAAGGAAAUGAUACACGGUUUUCAGUAAGGUUUUCUCUGCAAGCACUGAAAUUGUAGGUAACAGAUAGUUUUGUGAUAAGAUAAAUUGUAACGGGUAACAAGCAAUGAAAGUAAAUAAAGUGCAACAAGGUGGCCCAAUCCUUUUUGUAGCAAAGGACAAGCCUAGACAAUUUCUUAUAAUGAGAAAGGAGCUCCCGAGGACACAUGGGAAUUAUCGUCAAGCUAGUUUUCAUCAUGCUCAUAUGAUUCGCGUUCGGUACUUUGAUAAUUUGAUAUGUGAGUGGACCGGUGCUUGGGUACUGCCCUUACUUGGACAAGCAUCCCACUUAUGAUUAACCCCUAUUGAAAGCAUCCGCAACUACAAAAGAAGUAUUAAGGUAAACCUAACCACAACAUUAGACAUAUGGAUCCAAAUCAUCCCCUUACGAAGCAACGCAUAAACUAGGGUUUAAGCUUCUGUCACUCUAGCAACCCAUCAUCUACUUAUUACUUCCCAAUGCCUUCCUCUAGGCCCAAACAAUGGUGAAGUGCCAUGUAGUCGAUGUUCACAUAACAGCACUAGAGGAAAGAUAACAUACAUCUCAUCAAAAUAUCGAACGAAUACCAAAUUCACAUGACUACUAAUAGCAAGACUUCACCCAUGUCCUCAGGAACAAACGUAACUACUCACAAAGCAUAUUAAUGUUCAUAAUCAUAGGAGUAAUAAUAUGCAUUAAGUAUCUGAACAUAUGAUCUUCCACCAAGUAAACCAAUUAGCAUCAACUACAAGGAGUAAUCUACACUACUAGCAACCCACAGGUACCAAUUUGUGGUUUUGAUACAAGAUUGGAUACAAGAGAUGAACUAGGGUUUUGAGAGGAGAUGGUGCUGGUGAAGAUGUUGAUGGAGAUUGACCCCCUCCCGAUGAGAGGAUCAUUGGUGAUGACGAUGGUGAUGAUUUCCCCCUCCCGGAGGGAAGUUUCCCUGGCAGAACAGCUCUGCCGGAGCUCUAGAUUGGUUCCACCUCUUGGCAGCGGAGUUUCGUCCCGUAAGCUUGCCUCUGAUUUUUUCCAGGGUAAAAGCCUUCAUAUAGCAGAAGAUGGACACCGGAGGGCCACCAGGGGGCCCAGAAGACAGGGGGCGCGCCCAGUAGGAGUGGGCGCACCCCCACCCUCCUGGCCAGGGUGUGGGCCCCCUCUAGUGUUUCUUUCGCUCAAUAAUUUUUAUUAAUUCUAAAACUAACUUCCAUGGAUUUUCAGGAUUUUUGGAGCUGUGCACAAUAGGUUUCCAAUAUUUGCUCCUUUUCCAGCCAGAAUUCCAGUUGUCGGUAUCAAAACCGGUGGAUCUCGGGUAGGGGGUCCCGAACUGUGCGUCAAGGCUGAUGGUAACAGGAAGCAAGGGACACAGAUGUUUACCCAGGUUCGGGCCCUCUCGAUGGAGGUAAAACCCUACUUCUUGCUUGAUUCAUAUUGAUGAUAUGGGUAGUACAAGAGUAGAUCUACCACGAGAUCGCAGAGGCUAAACCCUAAGAGCUAGCCUAUGAUGGUAUGAAUGUAAUUGUGAUCGGCCUUCUAAGGACCAACCUCUCCGGUUUAUAUAGACACCGGAGAGAGCUAGGGUUUACAUGGAGUCGGUUACAAGGAAGGAAAUAUAAUAUCCAGAUCGCCAAGCUUGCCUCCCACGCAAAGGAGAGUCCUCUCCGGAUACGGACCGAAGUCUUGAGUCUUGUGUCUUCACGCUUCAAUAGUCCGGACAUGGUACACAGUCCGGCUGUCCGGAUACCCCCUAAUCCAGGACUCCCCCAGUAGCCCCUGAACCAGGCUUCAAUGACGAUGAGUCCAACACACAGUAUUGUCUUCGGCAUUGCAAGGCGGGUUCCUCCUCCGAAUUCUCCAAAGUGGUUAUCAAACAUGCAGUCCGUGUCUGGAUCUGCAAGAUGAUCUUCACAUGGCAUAGAUCUGUUUUGUGGGCAAUCUUCGUGCGUCGUGCCCUUGUAUCGUGACUUGGUCCAACGCGAACCGUCGUUCCCUAUCCCACAAUGACUCGUGUUAUGAGGCGGUUUUAUUGGCACGUCCCGUCGAGGUAGAGAUCGUGUCCCUUUUAUUAUGAGAUUUUCCAUCAAUAUGAGCGUGCGUGACCCCACGACGGCUGUUGGUAUAACCCCGUGUGUUUUUAGAUAAGCCUCAAACGGUCACACCGGGGACUCUUGAUAUUCACCUUCUUUAUAAAGGGAUCGAGACCUACGCCUAUUUUUUCAUCUUCAUCGCGCCUUCUCGCACCUCGAGUUCUAACACACAAAGCCCAGGCUCCACUUCGGCGGAAUCCUCCAAUAUGUCCGGAUCCGACCCUCAAGGCCGGUGGGUGGCCUCCUCGAUCGAAGAGAAGGACAUUGCAAAACUUAGGGAGGUCGGAUACCUGACCAUAGAAAUCCAGCACAGGCUCCCUGCUCCAGGGCAGGUCAUCCCUACGCCGGAGCCCAAUGAGUGUGUUGUUUUCGUCCCACACUUCCUCCGCGGUUUGGGUUUCACCCUCGAUCCCUUCGUGAGGGGGCUCAUGUUCUAUUAUGGGUUGGAUUUUCAUGAUCUGGCUCCAGACGCCAUCCUCCAUAUCUCGUCGUUCAUUAUCGUGUGCGAGGAUUUUCUCCACAUCACCCCACACUUCGGCUUAUGGCUCAAGACCUUCAAUAUGAAGCCGAAGAUGAUCGGGGGGCGACAUGUGGAGUGCGGAGGUGCUGUAAUAAGCAGAAGCGCCGAUGCCCCAUGGCCGGAGGGUUCUUUCCCAGAAGUAUCUGACGUAUGGCAGCGGAGGUGGUUUUAUGCUACGGCCCCAAGGGGCACAAAGUGGGCAGCCGCCCCUGAGUUCCGCUCGGGUCCUCCAUCGCAGUUGGCGUCCUGGACAGACGUAGGACAUAAUUGGGGGCCCGUAGGCGAUGUACCAAUACUGCAGAACCGUAUCCGGGAGCUUCUCGAGAGGGAUAUCAACCUUGUUAGCGUAAUGCAAGUGAUGUUAAUCUGGCAGAUGUUGUCGUUCCAACGCCGGCCUCUUCGGAUGUGGGAGUUCAAUCCGGAGGGUCCGUAGACUGUGAAGCACUUCUUCGGCUUGAAGCUCGAAGAGAUGUGCAAAUUAUUCUUCGGACGGAAAGUAGUGUGUCCGGAUACCAUCGAGGAUGCGGGCCUAAGCUACAAUCGCCUAGAUACUCAAGUAAGUAGCCUUGAUACCGGACACCCUGUUUUGUAUUUGUCAUGAUUGUUUAUUCUGAAAAUCAUCUGCGUCCAGGAAUGGCUCAGCAAGGCAGAGAGAAUUAGGUGUCCGGCGCCACUUCCCGAAGGCUCGCCCGCCCCCACCAUGGCCAAGAUGCUCGACCGGGUACUCAGCAGAAUGCCCUGGGGAAAGACAAGGGGAGGAACGAAGAAACCAAACCCCACAUGCUACGCAUCCAAACCGAGGGAAUUGUUACCUCCCCCAAGGAGGAUAGUCGGGGAGGGAAGGCUAAAGCCUCCUCCCCGCGCAAGAAGAAGAGGGCCGUCUCCGAAGAUUUGGAGGCGAAGAUGCCCAAAUUAGGGAAAAAGACAUCUCCAUGGGGCCUUGCCCUGAUGGGCACCCUCACCGCACCAUGCCCUCCAACGGGCCAGCCCUCCACCGAGAUGUAAGUCAAUCUACAAUCCGAAGGUACUGUGUUUCUCCUAGAUCAAUAACCAGGAUUCAAAUUUUUGCAGUCCGGCCAGUAGCUCCUCUCAACAGGGUUCGUCUUCGGGGGACCUUCCUCCGAAGAUGAUGGAGAGUGAGACCCCACCCCCUUCUCCAACUCAUGAAGCGAGCGACACCGAGGUGUCGUCACGGAGUAGUCCGGAUCUGCCGAAGCCGGAAGUCAAUCCUUCAGCCGCCCUACACCCGGAGCAUUUGGCUACAACGGGGGGCGAUGGGAAGAGUCCGACGCAGUACUGACGGGCUUGCUGGAGUGAGCUGCGCUCUCGGAGGAGCACCGCUCAUUAAUGAGCGCGGUGCUCAAGAAGAUUUCAUCCGCUACAAGCGGUUUGAAUGAAGCAUUCACAAGCCUACUCAGAGGCUUUGAGGUAUGUAAUGGAGAACUCACUAUUUCUUUGGUUGUAAGGCACGCGCUAGGUGUGCUCCAUAUAGAUAGUAGCCCCUGAGACUCUGGUUGCCCGCCCUAGGCGGAAAACGGGGGAUCAUAAACCAAUGAUAGUGCUGUAAAUGUGUGCAGGUACCUGUGGGUCCAGACGCCAGCCAGUCCGUCGAAGUUGCCGAACUAACAAGGCAAAUUGGAUCGAUUGAUGCCGAUAUCACGUUGGUGAAUGAGCAGCUGGACAAAUCACAAGGUAUGUGUCAUGCCUUCCCUUGUAUAGGGAAAAUAUGAAGAUGGCGUGAUAUUGAUGUAGUAUGUUUGGACUGCAGAUGGUGCUGCUGCCAUAGAGGCCCUGAGGGCGGAACUUGCUCAACCCAAGGAACAAGCUUGGGUGAGCAAUGUGGCUGCCCUAAAGGCGGCCGAGGAACUGAGGGCCGAACAGGCUGCUCAUCGCCGAAGCAAGGAAAAGAUAGCCGAAAUGGCUAUUGAGUUAAAAGAUGCCGCUGACCGGUAUGAGCUCCUUAAAAAGGAGUGUGAGGGUAAUUCUCCUGAGCUAAACAAGGCGAUGAGUGCCACCAAGGAAAUCCGGACCGAGCUCAGGGGUGCGCGGGAGGAGCUUCGAUAGGCCGAUGAAAUCGCGGCUGGGGGCUCCUAUUUACUGCGGACGAAAUUUUUCGAUCUGAUGUACGCUCCCCUGGAUGGACGCUAGAGUCCGGCGGACGCAUAUGCGGAUUUGGCGAAGAGUACGGACGAUGCUGCCGACUUCUUCAAAGGUCAAGGUGACAAGGAAGUGGAUAAGCUUUUCUGGUCGCAAUUCCAUGCUCCCACUCGCCCGCUGCUGUUGAGUGACAAGAUGGCUGCUGUAGCGGAGCUUCACAGGCUGUCCGGGCUUGCAAUGCGGUCUGUAAUAGAUCAUCUUUGGCCGAAGGGACCUAAGACGGAUAGCUACUUUAGUUUGGUGCAAUAGUUCCUUGGGGACGUGCCUCGGAUCGAUGCCAUGAGGAGAUCGACAUGUAUAGAGGGUGCACGGAUGGCUCUCGCCCGCGUUAAAGCCUAUUGGACGGAUAUGGAUGCCACCAUGAUAGCGGCCCAGGAUCCGAUGGGGGGACGAUAUCCGGCCAAGCACUACUUGGCGUAGGUCACAGAAGGUGCCCGUCUAGUAGAGGCGCGGUGCUCGAAGAAUGUCCUAUUCGAGUGAACGGAAUCAUUGUAAAAACAAUGUUUAUUUUGAUUAUGAGGCUAGAUUUAUACUAUUUGCCUGAGAAUAUGAUUAUUUCCCCUGUGCGGCCGUUUAUAUAUAUGUAUAUAUAAAUAUGUAAUCCGAAAGUUACCAGCCGUUGGCUUCAACCCCCACGCAUACAAUACGGGGGUGUUCGCAAAAAAAUAUGCUUAAUCACACUUGAUCCAACGUCUUGGUCCAUUAAGGAGGUGAUCGCACGACGAACUAGGCAACCGGACUAUAUAGUUGUAACACUUUCGCUUAGCCACGGGAUUCUAAAGUGGGGCUACUAUGUAGCCCCUGGUACCUUCGCGUGCAUCCGAAUACGGGCGCGUAUGUACCUAGCUGGGAAAUGGCCCUUUGUUAAUGCAGAGGAAUCCUAAAGAUUCUGGUGAGUCCUCGAGUGGUUGACCAGUCUCUCGCUGUAUCAUGACAAUCUGUUUUCGGCUUUCUCUACCGAGGUGCUCGUCCGCAAUAACCAGGGCACAAUCGCAGUAGUUCUCCUUUGGCCACCCCAGCCCAUAAUAACGGAACAUAAGGCGGCAAACCCAGGAGCCGGGCAAACCCAACAUUUGACCAGAGACAUGAUUCGGAGCUGAUGCAUAUAAGGCCUAACUCGUGACGCCGAACACUCCCGAAGGUAUUCGGACUUUAUAAUAGAUGAUAGGCUCAAGAAUGCCUAUUCAUUAUAAACCCUGUGUUUCCAGGUACGCGCGUUAAUCUGUCAUGGCGAAAUGCCAAAAACGGUAGUAUCCUCUGUGGGUGUGGAACCCAUGGGAUGGUUAAACAACAAAAGGCAAUAGAAAAGGUUUACACAAGGGCUUAAUCUAAAAAGAAACCUGUUGAACGGUGCCCUGCUGCACGCCUGCGCCUUUGUCUUUGUUGUGCCGUAUCCUGGAAGGGUAUCACGCGAAAGUUGUAUGGGGAAAAAGAAAACUCAUAGGAGGUUACAACGUUAGUAUGCGAUGGAUAAAAGUGUAAUCCGUUGGCCUGCCAAUAAGGUUGAGCCAAGUGUGGGGCUUUAUUAGGUAGUUAUAGCCGUUGGUAUCCGCUAUAGGAUUACAUAUACGGUGCCCUGGUUCGAUCUGGGCUACCGGACUCGUCUAACCGUGUCCAUGGUCUUAACGACCGGUCAUAUUUUUUUUUGAUGUUGGAGGUCGCUUAUAGUCCGGCCGCGAGGGCCGUCGCAUGUUCCUCUGCGCGUGACGAGCGCUCUGUUAUUCUGCUAACGGUGAUGACGCCGUGUGGACCGGGCAUCUCAAGUGUAAGGUAGCCAUAGUGCGGCAAUGCAUUGAAGCGGGCGAAGGCCGUUCUUCCGAGCACUAUGUGAUAGUCGCUUUGGAAGGGUGCGAUGAUGAAGAGUAGUUCUUCGCUUCUGGAGUUGCCUGGAGAGCCGAAUGUUACCUCUAGUAUGACGGAGCCCCUGCUGUAGGCUUCAACGCCUGGUAUCACCCCUUCAAAGGUGGUGUUGCUUUGGCUAAUUCUGGAUGGGUGUAUCCCCAUCCUGCGGACAGUGUCCUUGUAUAUUAAAUUGAGACUACUGCCGCUGUCCAUGAGGACCCGGGUGAGACGGUAUCCGUCGAUCAUUGGGUCAAGCACCAAGGCCUCUGAUCCGCCAUGCUAAAUACUAGUCCGGCCAUCCAGGUGAUCGAAAGUGAUCGGAUAGGACAUCCAGUAGUUAGGUGUGGGAAUAAUAGACUUUAAAUCGCGCGCGUUCGUGCCUUCUCAUGGGUUUAUGAGUCGCGUGGACCAUGUUCACUGUUUUAACCUCUGGCGGGAAUUUUUUCUGUCCCCCAGUGCUUGGCUGGCGGGGUUCGUCCUCGUCCUCGCUUGGUGUUUCCCUUCCCUUGUGUUCGGCAUUUAAUUUGUCGGCCUGCUUGAAGACCCAACACUCUCUGUGCGUGUGGUUCGCAGGUUUGUCAGGGGUGCCAUGAAUUUGGCAUAGUUUGUCCAAGACUCUGUUCAGACCGGACGCUCCCUCUUUGCUGCCUUUAGAUGGCUUAUUUUGCUGAUUAGGUCGAGAGCCCCUGAAUCCGGCAUUAACCAUCGUUUUAUCCAAGCUCUCUUCCUUGUUUUGGCGUUUGUUUUUAUGACGCCGCGGCUUCCCGUUGCCAUCCCUUAUUUCGAAUGUGCUGGGGUCGCUGGUGCCUUUAUAGGCUAGCCAGCUAUCUUCGCCCGCGCAAAAGCGGGUCAUAAGGCUUGUUAGGGCUGCCAUUGUCCUAGGCUUUUCUUGGCCGAGGUGUCUGGCGAGCCACUCGUCACGGAUGCUAUGUUUGAAUGCCGCUAAGGCUUCGACAUCCGGAUAAUCGACAAUUGGAUUCUUCUUAGUGAGGAAUCUGUUCCAAAGCUUGCGGGCGGACUCUCCGGGUUGUUGGAUUAUGUGACUUAAAUCGUCAGCAUCCGGAGGCCGGACAUAAGUCCCUUGAAAAUUGGCCCUGGAAGCGUCCUCGAGUUCCUCCCAACUCCCAAUUGAUUUUUCUGGGAGGCUUUUCAACCAGUGCCGAGCUGGUCCCUUCAGUUAGAGUGGGAGGUAUUUGAUGGCGUGAAGGUCAUCCCCACGAGCCAUAUGUAUGUGCAGGAUAAAGUCCUCGAUCCAGACCCCUGGGUCUGUCAUUCCAUCGUAUGCCUCUAUGUUCACAGGUUUAAAGCCCUGUGGGAAUUCAUGGUCCAGUACUUCAUCAGUAAGCACAGGGGGUGAGCAGCCCCUCUGUAUUUGGACGUACUGUGGCAUGCCGUCGGCUGUUGUUGUGUUUGGUGUUUAUUCUGAACUGGUAUUUGGUUGUCAUAACUGUUUUGACGACCACAGUCCCCCGCUGGGGUGUGUCCUAAUUUAGAUCCGAAGUAUCCAUCCUUCUGGCGCUCUUGCUGAUAUUUUUGCUGUUGCUAGAUUUGGAAUGGCGUCUGCGCCGUCGCUUUGGUUUUUGCCCAGGGGUUUUAUCUUCCGGAUAGUCACCGUCGUCUUCCUUGGGCGUAUCCACCAUGUAUAUGUCAUGUGACGAGGCGGGAAUUCGGUACCCCAUAGAUUCUGAGUCUUCUCCUGCAUCGUCGUCCAUACCGUUGAUGCCUUCGGAGUCGAAGUCAAGCACGUCGGUUAAAUCAUCAACCGUGGCUAUGAAGUGGGUGGUGGGUAGGCAACGAUUUCUUCGUCGCCUGCUUCCCACUUGAGCUGGACAUAGUUCGGACCGGAAUUCUCUGUUAGAGAGAGGAUUUUUAAUGAGUUUAGUAUGUCGCCAAAGGGUGAGUGCUGGAAGAUGUCCGCAGCGGUGAACUCCAUUACUGGGGCCCAAUCAGGCUUGGUGGGCUCGGGAGUGCGCGGACUGAGACCUACAACCGGAUACGAAUCCGGAGGCCCGGAGUCACAGGCUUUCCCAGAGGUGGGGCCUGUGUUCGGCUCCAUCGCCGAUGAGGGUACGGCCUGCGGGGCGAGGUCCAGGCCUCCGUCCUUAGGCAACACAUCCUGCCCCGGAUUUAAAUCCGAGGCUUCUGCCGGGGUGAUAUCCCGAGCAUCGUCUGACGGCAGGUCUAAGCCGUGCUCAUCAUGACUAUUCGGCGCUCCUGAUGCGAUCUGCUCCAGAUGACCAAGCGAAUCGGUCCGCAGUGUGAAGUCUCCGAACACGAAGAUUUGUCCGGGAGGAAAGUCUCAACCUCGACAGCGUCGUUGAUGAUAAUUGAAGGAGCCAUCAAGCCUUGUAGCAACGUCACAGAGGAACUCUCAAUGAAAGCACCAAUGUCGGUGUCAAAACCGGCGGAUCUCGGGUAGGGGGUCCCGAUCUGUGCGUCAAGGCUGAUGGUAACAGGAAGAAAGGGACACAGAUGUUUACCCAGGUUCGGGCCCUCUCGAUGGAGGUAAAACCCUACUUCCUUCUUGAUUAAUAUUGAUGAUAUGGGUAGUACAAGAGUAGAUCUACCACGAGAUCAUAGAGGCUAAACCCUAAGAUCUAGCCUAUGAUGGUAUGAAUGUAAUUGUGAUCGGCCUUCUAACGACCAACCUCUCCGGUUUAUAUAGACACUGGAGAGAGCUAGGGUUUACAUGGAGUCGGUUACAAGGAAGGAAAUAUAAUAUCCGGAUCGCCAAGCUUGCCUCCCACGCAAAGGAGAGUCCCCUCUGGAUACGGGCCGAAGUCUUGAGUCUUGUAUCUUCAUGCUUCAAUAGUCCGGACGUGGUACACAGUCCGGCUGUCCGGAUACCCCCUAAUCCAGGACUCCCUCACCAGCUGCCGGCAUUCCCCCUCUUCAUGGUAAACCUUAUAAAAUAAGAGAGAAUAGCCAUAAGUAUUGAGAUAUAAUGUGUAAUAACAGCCCAUAAUGCAAUGAAUAUUGAUAUAAAAGCAUGAUGCAAAAUGGAUGUAUCAACUCUCCCAAGCUUAGACCUCGCUUGUCCUCAAGCGGAAGCCAAAAUUGAAAAAUAUGUCCAUAUGUUUAGAGAUAGAGGUGCCGAUAAAAAUAAAAUACGGACAUGAGGGCAUCAUGAUCAUUCUUAUAACAGCAACAUAUAUAGAUUUUAUCAUAUAAUUUCUUAUGCUCAAGUAUCAAUCAAUUCACAAUGUCAAGUACGGUUCAAAAACUUUAUUGGAAACUAACAAACUAUAAUCUCAAUCAUUGAAGCAAUUGCAAUUUAUCAUAACAUCAGAAAGAGUCAAGAAUAGAGCCUUUCAGCAAGUCCACAUACUCAACUAUCAUAUAGUCUUCUACAAUUGCUAACACUCAUGCAGUACUUGUGGUUAUAGAGUUUCAACCGGACACUGAGAAAGAUAGGGGUUUAUGGUGUUGCCUCCCAAUAUAUCCACCUUUAGGUGAUGUCAACAAUAAUAGUUCAUGCUAACUUACAUCCAAUUGGAUAUAUAUAUCGAGAUCUUUCAAACACGAGGAGCUUGCCAAAGGAUAAAAUGAAAAAGGGAAAGGUGAAGAUCACCUUGACUCAAGCAUAAAGUAAAGACAUAAAGUAAAGGAUAUGCCCUUUGCAGAGGGAAGCAGAGGUUGUCAUGUGCGUUUAGGGUUGGAUGCAUGAAAUCUUAAUGCAAAAGAACGUCACUUUAUAUUGCCACUUGUAUGUGGACCUUUAUUAUGCAGUCCGUCGCUUUUACUGCUUCCACAACAAGAUCAUAUAAAGCUUAUUUUCUCUGCACUAAUAAGUCAUACAUAUCUAGCGAGCAAUUUUUAUUGCCUGCAACAUGACAACUUACUUGAAGGAUCUUACUCAAUCCAUAGGUAGGUAUGGUGGACUCUCAUGGCAAAACUAGGUUUAAGGAUAUCUGGAAGCACAAGUGUAUCUCUACUUGGUGCAAGGAAUUUGGCUAGCAUGAGGGGGAAAGGCAAGCUCAACAUGUUUGGAAGGUCAAAGACAGUAUACAUUAACUGAGAUGUGAGAAAACAUAACCCAUUACGUUGUCUUCCUUGUCCAACAUCAACUCUUUUAGCAUGUCAUACUUAAUGAGUGCUUCACAAUCAUAAAAGAUGUCCAAGAUGGUAUAUUUGUAUGUGAAACCUCUCUUUCCUUAUUACUUCCUACUAAUUGCAACGAUGACCAAAACUACGUUUGUCAACUCUCAACAACUUUUAUGCCUCAUACUUUCUAUGUGUGAAAUCAUUACUAUUCAUAAGAUCAAUAUGAACUCUUUUAUUCUUUUUAUUCUUUCUACUUCCUCAAGAUCAUGGCAAGAAAGCAAAGCCCUUGACUCAACACUAAUCUUUAUUAUAGAUAGCUCACAGACUCGAUUACAUAAAGAGAUCACAAAGCAAAACUCAAAACUACUUGAUACUAAAACUUCAAUCUACUAUAUCAAGAUCUACUAAAAGAUCGAACUAAAUAAAACGGUAAAGAUAGGAGUGUGAUGGUGAUACGAUACCGGGGCACCUCCCCCAAGCUUGGCAGUUACCAAGGGGAGUGCCCAUACCCAUGUAAUUAUGUCUCCUUCUCCAUGGUUGGUGUUAUGAUCUUCUUGGCGAUGAUGCCCCUUAGGAUACGAUUCUCCUCCUCGAGCUUAUUGACUUGUUGUUUGAGGUCCAUAAUUUCUUUGCGGAUCUUGCCCGUAACGGCUAAAGCACCCUUUACCCAAGGAUGUUGCAUAGCUUCUGGAGAACAAGUGACGCUCUUUUUCAUAUUUUCAUAAGAAAGAAAUCUAAAGUUGUAAGGGAUGACCGAAUUUGGAAUAGCCGGGCUAUGUAGUUCCCCCAUCAUGAAUUCUGCUUGGAGACGAGAGGUAACUUCUUGAUCUUCCUCCAUGGCAUCUAUCCUUUUCAAGUCGGCCUCCAUCUCAUCCUCCGUUGAUGGUCCAAAGUGAUAAGCAUCGCUAUUUGCUCCUAGACCUGGUGUCGGGUGAGACACCCGACUCUCCCCGACUGACUCUUGAGAAGACAUCUUGCUCUUAAACUGCAAUAGGAACAACUCGAAACGAAAACAGAGGAUAUUUGCAUGAUAUGGUGGUCAAAGCCUUCGGGAAGUUAUAUAAUGAAUUUUUACCGACCAAAAUACGUAACAUGCAAGAAAACUGAGUCCGGGAGGCACACAAGGUGGCCACGAGACUAGGGGGCGCGCCCUCCACCCUCGUGGAGGCCUCGUGUCCUUCCCGGACUACUUCUUUCCUUCUGAAAUUCUUAAAUAUUCCAAAACUUAUAAAAAUUGCCAUUAGAAUUGUUUUGGAGUCGGUUUACUUACCAUACCACAUACCUAUUCCUUUUCGGAGUCUGGAACAUUCUGGAAAGUGUCCCUUAUGUAUUCCUCCGGAGUUACGAUUUCAACAACAUUAGUUUCAACAUUGAUAGGAUUACCUGAGAUAUAAUGUUUAAUUCUUUGACCGUUCACGACCCUCGGACUUGUGCCUUUGAAGUUGUUGAUUUUUAUGGCACCAGAAUGAUAGACCUCCUCGAUAACGUAAGGACCUUCCCAUUUAGAGAGAAGUUUUCCUGCAAAAAAUCUUAAACGAGAGUUGAAUAAUAACACAUAAUCACCUACGUUAAACUCGCGCUUUUGUAUCCUUUUAUCAUGCCAGUGUUUGACUUUUUCUUUGAAUAGCUUGGCAUUCUCAUAGGCCUGGGUUCUCCAUUCAUCAAGUGAGCUAAUGUCAAAUAACCUCUUCUCACCGGCAAGUUUGAAAUCAUAGUUGAGCUCUUUAAUAGCCCAAUAUGCUUUAUGUUCAAGUUCAAGAGGUAAGUGACAAGCUUUUCCAUAAACAAUUUUAUACGGAGACAUACCCAUAGGAUUUUUGUAUGCAGUUCUAUAGGCCCAUAAUGCAUCAUCAAGUUUUUUGGACCAAUUCUUUCUAGAUCUAUUCACAGUCUUUUGCAAAAUUAAUUUGAGCUCUCUAUUGCUCAACUCUACUUGACCACCAGACUGCGGGUGAUAAGGAGAUGCAAUUCUAUGAUUAACAUCAUACUUAGCAAGCAUCUUAUGAAAAUCACCAUGAAUAAAAUGUGAACCACCAUCAGUCAUAAGAUAUCUAGGGACUCCAAACCUCAGAAAAAUAACUUCUUUAAGAAUUUUAAUAGAGGUGUUAUGAUCAGCACAACUAGUUGGAAUAGCUUCUGCCCACUUAGUAACGUAAUCAACAUCAACUAAAAUAUGUGUGUAACCAUUAAAGGCAGGAAAAGGUCCCAUAUAAUCAAAGCCCCAAACAUCAAACAGUUCAAUAACAGGAGAAUAAUUCAUAGGCAUUUCUUGACGUCUACUAAUGUUACCAAUUCUUUGACAUUCAUCACAAGAUAAGACAAACUUACGAGCAUCUUUGAAGAGAGUAGGCCAAUAAAAACCGGAUUGAAAUACCUUAUGUGCAGUUCUAUCUCCAGCGUGGUGUCCUCCAUAGGAUUUAGAGUGAGACUUGCGAAGGAUCUGUUCCUGUUCAUGCUCAGGUACACAACGUCUAAUAACACCAUGUACUCCUUGUUUAUAAAGGUGUGGGUCAUCAUAGAAGUAAUGUCUUAAAUCAUAAAAGAACUUUUUCUUUUGCUAGUAUGUGAAACUAGGUGGUAUAAAUUUAGUAACAAUGUAAUUAGCAUAAUCAGCAUACCAAGGAGCGGUACAAGAAGCAUUAACGAUCGCUAAUUGUUCAUCAGGAAAGCUAUCAUCAAUAGGCAGUGGGUCAUCAAGAACAUUAUCUAACCUAGACAAGUUGUCUGCAGCGGGGUUCUCAGCUUCCUUUCUAUCAAUAAUAUGCAAAUCAAAUUCUUGGAGCAAGAGAACCCAUCUAAUAAGUCUAGGCUUAGCAUCUUUCUUUUCCAUAAGAUAUUUAUUAGCAGCAUGAUCAGUGUGAAUAGUAACUUUGAAUGAACAAUAUAAGGUCUAAACUUAUCACAUGCAAACACAACUGCUAAGAACUCUUUUUCAGUAGUAGCAUAAUUUCUCUAGGAAGUAUCAAGAGUUUUACUAGCAUACUGGAUAACAUUCAAUUUCUUAUCAACUCUUUGCCCUAGAACAUCACCUACAACAUAAUCACUAGCAUCACACAUAAUUUCAAAGGGUAAAUUCCAAUCAGGUGGCUGAACAAUAGGUGAAGUGAUCAAAGCUUUCUUAAGUAUUUCAAAUGCUUCUACACAAUCAUCAUCAAAUACAAAAGGAAUAUCUUUUUGCAAUAAAUUAGUCAGGGGCCUAGAGAUUUUAGAAAAGUCCUUAAUGAACCUCCUAUAAAAAUCGGCAUGACCAAGGAAACUUCUUAUACCUUUUAUGUCCUUGGGACAUGGCAUCUUUUAAAUAGCAUCAACCUUAGCUUUAUCAACUUCAAUACCUCUCUCGGAAAUCUUAUGCCCUAAGACAAUGCCUUCAUUAACCAUAAAGUGGCACUUUUCCCAAUUCAAGACGAGACUAGUGUCUUCACAUCUCACCUCUUUCAUCUUAGGAUUCAGUCAUCGUUGAGGAUCUCUAACUGGUUUGGCAUCGUCCUCCAAAUUAAUUUUGUGUUGGCAUAACGUGGGACUAAUCCCCUUGAGAUCAUCCAGAGUAUAUCCAAUAGCAGCACGGUGCUUCUUCAGAGUUUUCAACAAUUUUCCUCUUCUUGCUCUGAAAGGUUAGCACUAAUAAUAACAUGAUAUAUUUCCUUUUCAUCAAGGUAAGCAUACUUAAGAUUAUCAGGUAAUGGUUUGAGUUCAAACACGGGAUCACCCUUGGGUGGAGGGGGAUCCCCUAGAAUUUCAACGUGUAGGUUGUGUUUCAGCAUAUGUUCCUAUUGAAGGAACACUUCAUAUAUUUCCCUUCUUUCGUUCAUAAAUAUAUCAUUUUCAUGGUCUAGCAAAUAUUGUUCUAAUGGAUCAGUAGGAGGCAUGACAAUAGAAGCAAGACCAAUAAUCUCAUCCUUACUAGGUGAGUCUCUAUCACGAGGUUUUCUAUGAAACUUAGAAAAAUUAAACUCAUGAGACAUACCCUCUAAGCCAAUUGUAACAGUAUCCUUUUCACAAUCAAUCCUAGCAUUAACUGUAUUCAAGAAGGGUCUACCAAAAAUAAUGGGACAAAAGUCAUCUUGUGGGGAACUAAGAACAAGAAAAUCAGCAGGAUAUUUAACCUUCCCACACAAGACUUCAACAUCUCUAACAAUCCCAAUUGGUGAAAUAGUAUCUCUAUUGGGAAGUUUGAUAGUAACAUCAAUACCUUCCAAUUCAAAUGGUGCAAUAGCAUGCAUAAUUUCUUUAUAUAAGUCAUAGGGUAUUGCACUAGUACUAGUACCCAUAUCACAUAAGCCAUGAUAACAAUGAUCUCCUAUUUUAACAGAAAUAACAGGCAUGCCUACCACAGGUCUAUGUAUCUUAGUAUCUGGUCUAACAAUAUUAGCAGUCUCUCCACAGAAAUAAAUAACAUGCCCAUCUAAAUCAUCAUCCAAGAGAUCUUUAACCAUAGCAAUACUAGGUUCAACUUUGAUUUUCUCAGGAGGUGUAUAAGUCCUAGUAUUACUCUUACGAACAACAGUCGAAGUUUUAGCAUGAUCUUUUAUCCUAAGAGGAAAAGGAGGUUUCUCAACAUAAGUAGUAGGAACAAUAGGAUCACUAUAAGUGACAGUCUUUUCUUCAAAUGUAAUAGGAGCAACUACUUUCACUUCAACGGGAGGAUUAUAUUUAAAUCAUUUCUCCUUAGAGAGAUCGACGUGAGUAGAAAAAGAUUCACAAAAAGCAGCUACUAUCUCAGAGUCAAGUCCAUAUUUAGCACUAAAUCCACGAAAAGCAUCGGUAUCCAUAAAAGAUUUAACACAAUCAAACUUAGGUGUCAUACCUGACUCCUUACCAUUGUCGGAACCCCAAUCUUCAGAUUUGCGUUUAAUUCUUUCCAAUAAGUCCCAUUUGAAUUCAAUAGUCUUCAGCAUAUAAGAACCAGCACAGGAAGUAUCGAGCAUGUUGCGAUCAUUUGGAGAAAGACGAGCAUAAAAAUUUUGGAUGAUCAUUUCUCUGGAGAGCUCAUGAUUGCGGCAUGAAUAUAACAUUGACUUAAGCCUCCCCCAAGCUUGAGCGAUGCUUUCUCAUUCGCGAGGCCAAAAAUUAUAUAUGUAAUUACGAUCACGAUGAACAAGAUGCAUAGGAUAGAACUUCUGAUGAAAUUCCAACUUCAAUCAUUUAUAAUUCCAAGAUCCCUUAUCAUCACAUAGCCUAUAUCAUGUCAAUGCAUCUCCCUUCAAAGAUAAAGGGAAGACCUUCCUUUUGACAACAUCAUCAGGAAUACCUGCAAGCUUAAAUAAUCCACAAACUUUAUACACAAAGAUAAGGUGUAAAUCAGGAUGCAAUGUUCCAUCUCCUGCAAAGGGAUUAGCUAGCAGUUUCUCUAUCAUACCCGAAGGAAUCUCAAAGUAAAUAUUUUCAGUAGGUUCAGUAGGUUGAGGAGCAACUCUUUGCUCUUCCGUUCGGGGUGAAGAUACCCCGAACAAGCCCCUCAAAGGAUUAGUUUCCAUAGUAACAAGUGACAAAAAAAUUCAGCACACUAUAUAAAUGUUUCCUUACCAAGUUCACUCACCAAAGGCGCUUCACUCCUCGGCAACGGUGCCAGAAAAGAGUCUUGAUGACCCACAAGUGUAGGGGAUCUAUCGUAGUCCUUUCAAUAAAUAAGAGUGUCGAACCCAACGAGGAGCAGAAGGAAAUGAUAAGCAGUUUUCAGUAAGGUUUUCUCUGUAAGCACUAAAAUUGUAGGUAACAGAUAGUUUUGUGAUAAGAUAAAUUGUAACGGGUAAGAAGCCAUGAAAGUAAAUAAAGUGCAGCUAGGUGGACCAAUCCUUUUUGUAGCAAAGGACAAGCCUGGACUAUUUCUUAUAAUGAGAAAGGAGCUCCCGAGGACACAUGGGAAUCGUCAAGCUAGUUUUUGCUGGAAUUUAGUCUAUUUUGGGCAGCCCAAUAACUAUUUCAGAAAUUCCUAAUAAAUCCUAGAGGCCCACUUAGCCCAUUUGUGCAAGGCAAGGGAUACUACUAAAGUUUAGUCCCGCAUUUCUAGUUUAGUGGGAGUUGGACCUCCUUAUAAGGGAGGUUCUUUCCCUACUUGUGUGAGCAUGAGAACAAGAGGGACAUCCACGCGCGCUCCUCCUCCGCCGCCAGCCUCGCCACGCCACGCCUCGUCACAACGCGCCGCGGGUUGCGGGAAUGAGCCGAGCCGAUGUCUAAUUUUUGCCACGCACUACGGGUAUACGAAAGGUCACUUGGGAGCUGAAAAGUUUUUGCGGUAGUGGAAAAUGAAUACGAAUGGCGCACCUCUUCGCGUGCUGCCUGUUCACUUCGUCUCCCUCUGUUGCUUCACCUCCCGUCGCAGCCUAUUCGCGUCCCUCUCCUAUGCCUAUAUAAGAGAGGUCGCUCCUCUCCAGAGAGACACAUCAGAAGGUCCUCUUCCUCUCGCCACACGGUUCUAAUCUAUGCGUUGCUGCUGUCUUCCUCAUCCCGGCUUGCGGUGUGCACCGCGAGUCGGGACAGUAGUCCUCCGAAACCGCACCUUUUGAGUCAUGUACGGGAUAAGGGUGAUAAGGUUUUUGGGGAGCGCUCUGCACGACUACUGGCUUCUUCGUCAUGGACGCCCCGAACUCCGACGACUACUUCCCCGACGUCGAUGACCUCCUCGACGACAUGGCAGGCAAGGACACCGACCCCAAGUCUAGCGCUUCUGCUGCUGCUGUGUCGUACGUGUUCUUCUCCUUUCUGUUAGAAGUCCUUGUAUAGAUCUUGGCUCUAGUUUCUGCCCUACGUAUGUUAGGUUCUAUGUCAUAUAAGCAACUUCAUCUAGUGUCUGUUCUAGAUGUGUUUAGCUCAAGGUCAUAUAUGUAGACGAUGUUUACCUUCUCUCUGUCAGAUUGCAUGACUUGCUUUAUAUUUGCUAUUUUAGUCAUGCUUUAUCUAGUAUUUCCGUUAGCAAAAUUAUUUGGUAAAUUGCUCACAUUUCCAACAAUCCAAAAAACCUUAUUAUAGGCAAUUUACCCCAAGUGGUUUUGCUGCUUCCAUGAGACCUCCUAUGUUUGAGGGUAUCCACUAUAAGAGGUGGAGCAUGAGAGCAGUCUUAUGGUUUCAGACCAUGAGCUGCUAUGACGCCACUCUUGGCAAACCUGAAGGAGAGCAAGAUGCCCAACAGGCACAAGCUUUUCAGAAAAUGGAUACUCUGUUUAAGGCUACUCUCUUGAAUGUUCUUGGUGAGAACAUAGUUGAUGCUUAUGCGUCAAUUGACAAUGGAAAAGAUAUGUGGGACGCACUCGAUGCCAAGUUUGGGGUCUCGGAUGCCGGCACUGAGCUGUUAUAGGACCUUGAGAAGAGGUGUCUACAGGGGGGGUGAUUAGACACUAAGUACCAAAGUUGCAGUUUUUAGCAAAUUUAAGUUUAAAUGGAGUUUAGGCACAAGUUUAACAUUCACAACACAUAGCAAGCAAGCAUGCAAAGACUAUAUGAGCAGUGGAAAGUAAAGCAUGCAACUUGCAAGAAUGUAAAGGGAAGCGUUUUGGAGGAUUCAAACGCAAUUGGAGAGACGGAUGUUUUUGGCGUCGUUCUGAUAGGUGGUGCUAUCGUACAUCCACGUUGAUGGAGAGUUCAACCCAUGAAGGGUAACGGUUGCGCGAGUCCACGGAGGGCUCCACCCAAGAAGGGUCCACGAAGAAGCAACCUUGUUUAUCCCACCAUGGCCGUCGCCCACGAAGGACUUGCCUCACUAGCGGUAGAUCUUCACGAAGUAGGCGAUCUCCUUGCCCUUACAAACUCCUUGGUUCAACUCCACAAUCUUUGUCAGAGGCUCCCAAGUGACACCUAGCCAAUCUAGGAGACACCACUCUCGAAGAAGUAACAAAUGGUGCGUUGACGAUGAACUCCUUGCUCUUGUGCUUCAAAUGAUAGUCUCCCCAACACUCAACUCUCUCUCAUAGGAUUUGGAUCUGGUGGAAAGAAGAUUUGAGUGGAAAGCAACUUGGGAAGGCUAGAGAUGAAGAUUCAUAUGGUAGGAAUGGAAUAUCUUGGCCUCAACACAUGAGUAGGUAGUUCUCUCUCAGAACUGGUAAGAUGGAAGUGUAGGUUUGUUCUGAUGGCUCUCUCCAUGAAUGAAGAGGAGGUGGAGGGGUAUAUAUAGCCUCCACAAAAAAUCUAACCGUUACACACAAUUUACCAAUCUCGGUGGGACCGAAUCAAUAAACUCGGUCAGACCGAUUUAGUAAACCUAGUGACCGUUAGGAUUUUUGGUGGGACCGAAAUGCAACUCGGUAGGACCGAUAUGGUUAGGGUUAGGGCAUAACGUAAUCUCGGUGAGACCGAUUACACAAACUCGGUGGGACCGAUUUUGGUAAUUAGCUAACCAGAGAGUUGUUCAGGCAAACUCGGUGGGACCGAUUACUCAAACUCGGUGGGACCGAUUUUGGUAAUAAGUUAACCAUAGAGUUUGCAUUGUAAUCUCAGUAGUACCGAUUGCUCAAACUCGGUAAGACCGAUUUUGAUAAUGGACAUACACAGAGAGAUUACAAUCCCAUCUCGGUGAUACCGAGAUCCCUAUUGGUGACACCGAUUUGCCUAGGGUUUGUGGCAGUGGCUAUGACAUCUGAACUCGGUGGCGCUGGAUAGAAAGAAUCGGUGUGGCCGAUUUUGGCUUUAGGUUUAGGUCAUAUGUGUGGAAGUGGGAAAGUAGUUGAGGGUUUUGGAGUAUAUCACUAUGCACGGUGGAGCAAGAAACUCAUCAAGCAACACCUCAUCCCUCCUUGAUAGUAUUGGCUUUUCCUAUAGACUCAAUGUGAUCUUGGAUCACUAAAAUGUAAAAUGAAGAGUCUUGAGCUUGAAGCUUUAGCCAAUCCUUUGUCCUUAGCAUCUUGAAGGAGUUCCCACAUCCUUUAGUCCAUGCCACUCCAUUGUUGAACUUGUCUGAAAUAUACUAGAUAAAAGUGUUAGUCCAACAAGAGAUAUGUUGACAUUAAUUACCAAAACCACCUAGGGAGCACUUGUGCUUUCAAUCUCCCCCUUUUUGGUAAUUGAUGGCAACAUACAUCAAAGCUUUAGAUAAAGGUACAAAGAAUAGCAAGUAAAGCUUUGGAAAGACAUGUAACAAGCAUAGGCUACCCCUACAUGUAUGCAAUCAUGUGAAAUAUAGAAUAUAGAAGCAUGUGAGAGCAUAACCAUGACAGAGUAGGCAAUGUGUUACAUGUAUCUUGGCCAUAUGCAUCAGAGCAAAGAAUAUGAAAGAAAAUACCUUCAUGCUCAUGAGUCCUUCUUGCAAACAGUAUGUACAUCAGCAAGAAUUCCUCAUACACAUGAUUGUGAUGCAUAUACUUACCUUGUAGUCUUGAGUUAGCUUAGGAUGGAAUGAACCUGCACAAACAAGGUUAGAUAACACAGGUACAUCUUCUUGCCAAAGCAAACAGAAGAAACUACAAGAAUACCAAGACUGGGAUGACAUGUAGAGAGGGAGUACUAAGUACCACAUUGGAUUAGACAUGUCCCAAAGAGUAAAGAUAUGCAAUGAAAUUAAAUGAUUUCUUUCCCUUAGAUGUCUUGCUCCCCCUGAAUCUAGCAUGGGAUACUGGGAGAAGAUAGGGAAUAGAAAAUCAGAGCUGAAAUAUAUGAAUGAACAGAGCUAGUGCAAACUAAUGCAAAUAAGCACAUAUGAACAUGUCUUUGCCCCAAAAAGACAUGUGGCAUCUCUCCUCUUGAACACCAAGCAUCUGGGAUCCUUGAGAAAUACUUUCUACUUGAGUAUUUUCUCCCCCUGGAGAUCUGUCUCUCCCCCUGUGGAAGUGAUAUUCUUUGAAGUGAUCUCUCUCUAAAUGAUAAGCUUUGAUAUGAUCUCUCUCUCCCCCUUUUACAUCAAUUUCCAAGAAGGGCUUCUGGAAUUUUGUCGUGAAUGGGUUUGAUCCUUGAGAUACAGCAUAAAGCAUUUGUAAAAAUGUGAUGCUUGUAGAGGACAAGAUUCAUUGAGUGGAGCUGGAUCAGAAGAAACACAGAAUAAGUGGCAGACUAUUUUUCCUGUGGUGAAAUCGGUGGCACCAAGUUGUAUGCUUCGGUUGUACCGAAAGAAUUCGGUUGGACCGAAAAUAACUAAUCGGUGGAACCGAGUUCAUCACAGAGAAAACACUUGUCACCUCAGCUCACUAGACUAAUAGGUUCUCACAAAGAUUUGCAAGGAAUUAACUAAAUGAUAUGCAAAGAAUUGGAUGCAUAAAAUGCUGAAUAGACAGAAAAGAAAGAAAUCUAGAUGAAGUUUUUUUUGAAAGGGGAAACAAAUAUGCAUGAGACAAAUGCAAAAACAUAGAGACGAACACAAGAGAACUUCAUCUAGAGAUGGUCGGCGACAAAGUCACCUAUGUUAGAGUAUAUUGACUUAGGAGUCAAGUGAGAUCACUUGAUCAUAGGUCAUACUCAUCGUUUAAGCUCAAAAUGGGGUUACCAUUUUUCGUUCAAGCAUAUUGAUGUAUUCUCAUCUUGUCGAGUUGCUUUAGCUCAUGACUCGGAGUAAAGCUUCUCUAAGAUGGAAUAACAUACCUUGGUUGGUGGUGUUGAUCAUGUAGUUGAACUUGUGUGGGUUGCUCAAGGUUGAUGUAGCUCAUCAAGAGUUGGGAGCACCACUUGGAAUUUGAGUCCAUCUACCUACAUGGGUUAGUUCUUGCAAGGAAGAGCACUUGUGUAUCCAAAAAUGACAAUCAUGAAGCUCAACAUAGAAUUUUUCAAAGGAUAUGUUUGAAUGGUUUCAUGCUUCCUUGUCUUCAACCACCUUUGUAUAGAGACUUGGUGAAGUAGAGAUUGCUCAAGAUGUGAGUAGGUUACAAUCUCAUUGAAUUUGAUUCAACCAAGUACCUAUAUGGGUUAUAUAACAUGCAAGAUGCAAAUAUGUCCAAGAUAUAAGAUUUUCAUCAUAAGAGAAAUAUAAAUGAUUAGUCAUAAGCUCAUGUCUUGCGUGUAUCCAAUGGAUUUUUUACUCCAAGUUUGAAGCAUCAAUGAUGUUCAAUUCUCCUCUCAACCUACAAAACACUUUCUCAUCAAGAGGUUUAGUGAAAAUAUCUGCCAAUUGUUUUUCGGUGCGAACAUGCUUAAGAUCAAUGUCACCCUUAGCAACAUGAUCUCGAAUGAAAUGAUGACGAACUUCAAUAUGCUUAGUUUGAGAAUGUUGCACAGGAUUAUGUCCAAUUUUGAUAGCACUUUCAUUGUCACAAAGCAAUGGAACAUGUUUCACAUAUAUCCCAUAAUCUUUAAGAGUUUGGGUCAUCCAAAGUAAUUGAGCACAACAUGAACCAGCGGCAAUGUACUCCGCUUUGGCGGUAGAUAAGGAUACCGAGUUUUGUUUCUUGGAGGACCAAGACACAAGAGAUCUACCAAGAAAUUGACAAGUACCCGAAGUGGACUUUCUAUCAACCUUGUCUCCGGCAUAGUCUGAGUCAGAGUAGCCAACAAGAUCGAAAGAGGCCCUCUUAGGAUAUCAAAUGCCAAAAUUUGGUGUAUGAAUUAAGUAUCUCACUAUCCUUUUCACAGCCUUAAGAUGACAUUCUUUAGGAGCAUCUUGAUAUCUUGCACACAUGCACACACUUAGCAUAAUAUCGGGACGUGAAGCACAUAGGUAUAACAAUGAACCAAUCAUAGAGCGAUAGACCUUUUGAUCAACUGGUUCACCAUCUUUGGUCAAAUCAAGAUGUCCACUAGUAGGCAUGGGUGUAGACAUACCUUUGCAUUCUUGCAUCUUGAACUUCUUGAAUAAGUCCUUAGUGUACUUCGUUUGAGAGACAAAAGUACCUUCCUUAGUUAGCUUGAUAUGCAACCCAAGAAAGAAUUUGAGUUCACUCAUCAUUGACAUCUCAAACUUCUCCGACAUUAGCUUUCCAAACUUCUCACUAAAAUGAGGGUUAGUUGAUCCAAAUAUGAUAUCAUCAACAUAAAUUUGGCAUACAAAUAAUUCUCCAUUAACCCUUUUAGUGAAAAGAGUAGAAUCAAUUUUCCCAAUUUCAAAUCCCUUUCCAAGAAGAAACUUCGUUAAGCAUUUGUACCAAGCUCUAGGAGCUUGUUUAAGACCAUAAAGAGCUUUGCAAAGUUUAUAGACAUGAUUUGGUUUCUUAGGAUUGACAAAGCUGGGAGGUUGUUUAACAUAAACUUCCUCCUCUAUUUUACCAUUUAGAAAAGCACUUUUAAUGUCCAUUUGGUACAAUGUGAUAUCAUGGUGAUUAGCAUAGGCAAGCAAGAUGCGAAUAGACUCAAGUCUAGCAACGGGAGCAUAAGUCUCACCAUAGUCCAUACCUUUGACUUGUGUGUAGCCUUGGGCGACGAGACGUGCUUUGUUGCGAACUACUUGUCCAUCUUCAUCUUGCUUGUUGCGAAACACCCAUUUGGUACCAAUGAUGUUGUGGUUGUUGUCGGGCUUCUCAACCAAUGUCCAAACUUGGUUUCUCUCAAAGUUGUGUAGCUCUUCAUGCAUAGCAUUUAUCCAAUCUGGAUCUUCCAAUGCUUCUUCAACCUUCAUAGGUUCAAUGCUAGAGAUGAAAGAAUAGUUUUCACAAAAGUUAGCUAAACGAGUUUUAGAACGAGUGAUUCUCCCGGUUUGAAAAUCAUUGUAGAUUUGCUCGACAGGAUGGUCUUUAGCAAUUCUUGCUCGAACUCGUGAAAGCUUUUGCUUGGGUCUUGGUUGAACAUCUUCUUCAUCAUCAUCUUCUUCUUGUUGUUCUUCUUCAUUGUUGGUGUUGUCGUUCUCUUGUCGUGGUGGAGAAGGAGGUUGUUGACGUUCUUGAUGCACUUCCUCGUUUUCUUCAUCUUGGUGUGUCCCACUUUUGGAUGCUUCCGUAUUAACUCUUGGUUCACCUUGUCGUGAAGUAGAAGCUUCCACUUGGACAGACGAGGUACUCUCCUUCACCUCCAUUGGACGAACCUUGCCAAUAGACAAGUCUUGGAUUGCUUCCGAAGGAUCUUUGUCUCCUACAUCAAUUGGCAAUUGCUCUACUUGCGAGACGUUAGAUUCAUCAAACUUCACAUCUACCGUCUCUUCAACCUUUCAGGUGAAAUUGUUGUAGACAUGGUAUGUGUGAGAGUUUGAGCCAUAAUCUAGUAGGAAACAUUCAUGAGACUUAGAAGCAAAUUUAGAACGACGAUGCUUAUCAAGAAUGUAGCACUUUGAGCUGAAUACUCGAAAGUAUCCAACUUGGGGUUUGUUACCGGUGAGGAGCUCGUAUGCCGUCUUGCCAAGUAGCUUGUGAAGAUACAAGCGAUUUGUUGCAUGACAAGCUGUCUCAACCGCUUCAGCCCAAAAGUGCUUCGGUGUCUUGUACUCAUCAAGCAUAGCUCUCUCCAUUUUGAUGAGCGUCCGGUUCUUCCUCUCAACAACUCCAUUUUGUUGAGGUGUGUACGUAGCCGAGAACUCGUGUGAAAUCCCUUCUUCGUCAAGAAAGGUGUCCACAUUUGUGUUCUUGAACUCCGUCCCGUUGUCACUGCGAACCUUCUUGAUCUUCACUUCAAACUGAUUUUGGGCCUUCCUAGCGAAGUUUUUGAUGAUCUUUUGGACCUGCGAUUUAUCAUCAAGAAAGAACACCCACGUAAAUCUUGAAAAAUCAUCAACUAUAACUAGACCAAAAGAAUUUCCACCGAGACUCUUGUAAGAGUUGGGACCAAAAAGAUCCAUGUGAAGUAGCUCAAGUGGCCUCCUUGUGGUCAUGAUGUUCUUCACGGGAUGCCUUCCUCCAACCUGUUUACCUGCUUGACAAGCACUGCAAAGUCUAUCCUUAUCAAAUAUGACAUCGUCACCAUGGAUAUGAUUCCCUUUUAUAAGCUUGUCAAGAUUUCUCAUGCCAACGUGACCUAGUCGUCUAUGCCAUAACCAACCUUUUGAGGAUUUAGCAAUGAAGCAAGUUUUAGGUUGAGCCUUUUUAGUGAAAUAAACAAUGUAUAGAUCACCUCUACGUAUGCCGGUAAAGACCAUUUUAUGAUUGUCUCGAUGAAACACUUGGCAAUCUACUUCAGUAAAUAGGACAUUGAAACCGAAAUCAGCAAGUCUAGAUACUGAAAGUAAGUUUUAACCUAGAGAUUCAACGAGCAUGACAUUUUGUAUGGAGCUAUCAUGUGAUAUGGCCACCUUACCAAGGCCAACCACCUUACCUUUUGAGUUGUUAUCGAAAGUGACAUACUUUCGAGGACUAUCAUUUUCAGCAAGCUCACGAAACAUGUCUUUAUCUCCGGUCACGUGAUCGGUACAUCCACUGUCAAGGACCCAUUCCUUUCCUCCUGCCAUAUAUCCCCGAAGAUUUGCCAUAAGACCAAAAUGUCUCAUUGCAUCAUCAAGAUCAAAGUCAUCGUCAUCAUCCUCAUCAUAGUAUCCAUGUUCAACAUCGUCAUGUGGUGAAUCAAUUCCUAGUGAGAGUGAUUCAUUAGUAUGAGUUUGACAAUAAUCUUGCUUAUGAAUUCUAGUAGCUUUGGAAAUGAUAUCGCUAAUAAUUCCAACAUUUCCUUUGGCACGCAUAAGAUUUGUAAGUUCAAAUAGACGAUCACCAAACAUAGGAUCAUUGGAAUUCAUCUUAGUCAAGGCAAUAGACUUAUGAAGAAUUUCAUCAAGAUUUUUCAAAGAAUAAUCAGGAAAUCGUUCCUCAAGAAAUUUCCAUAUAGUGUAAGCACACUCAAGAGUAGGCAGUUUUAUAAUCAAGUUUCUAGGCAAGCCUCUAGUGAUAAGAUUAACAGUUCUAACAUUCCUAAUCAUGUCAAUAGACUCAUCAAGGGUAGGAUGCAUAGGAUCAACAUAAGGUGCACAAGGACUAGCAAUGUACUUGUUCAAAUGACAUUGAUUGAAAAUUACAAGCAUCUCAUUUUUCCACUCAUGAAAAUACUCUCCAUCAAGAAUAGGCACUCUAUGUCUAAGACUCCCCAAAGUAGACUCAUCCAUCUUCCUCCAAUGGUGAUUAAACCAAAGCAAUGGAGACCAAAGCUCUGACACCACUUGUAGGACCUUGAGAAGAGGUGUCUAGAGGGGGGGGGGGGCGUGAUUAGACACUAAGUACCAAAGUUGCAGUUUUUAGCAAAUUUAAGUUUAAUUGGAGUUUAGGCACAAGUUUAACAUUCACAACACAUAGCAAGCAAGCAUGCAAAGACUAUAUGAGCAGCAGAAAGUAAAACAUGCAACUUGCAAGAAUGUAAAGGGAAGGGUUUUGGAGGAUUCAAACGCAAUUGGAGACACGGAUGUUUUUGGCGUGGUUCCGAUAGGUGGUGCUAUCGUACAUCCACGUUGAUGGAGACUUCAACCCACGAAGGGUAACGGUUGCGCGAGUCCACGGAGGGCUCCACCCAAGAAGGGUCCAUGAAGAAGCAACCUUGUCUAUCCCACCAUGGCCGUCGCCCACGAAGGACUUGCCUCACUAGCGGUAGAUCUUCACGAAGUAGGGGAUCUCCUUGCCCUUACAAACUCCUUGGUUCAACUCCACAAUCUUUGUCAGAGGCUCCCAAGUGACACCUAGCCAAUCUAGGAGACACCACUCACCAAGAAGUAACAAAUGGUGCAUUGAUGAUGAACUCCUUGCUCUUGUGCUUCAAAUGAUAGUCUCCCCAACACUCAACUCUCUCUCAUAGGAUUUGGAUCUGGUGGAAAGAAGAUUUGAGUGGAAAGCAACUUGGGAAGGCUAGAGAUCAAGAUUCAUAUGGUAGGAAUGGAAUAUCUUGGCCUCAACACAUGAGUAGGUAGUUCUCUCUCAGAACUGGUAAGAUGGAAGUGUAGGUUUGUUCUGAUGGCUCUCUCCACGAAUGAAGAGGAGGUGGAGGGGUAUAUAUAACCUCCACACAAAAUCUAACUGUUACACACAAUUUACCAAUCUCGAUGGGACCGAAUCAAUAAACUCGGUCAGACCGAUUUAGUAAACCUAGUGACCGUUAGGAUUUUCGGUGGGACCAAAAUGCAACUCGGUAGGACCGAUAUGGUUAGGGUUAGGGCAUAACGUAAUCUUGGUGAGACCGAUUACACAAACUCGGUGGGACCGAUUUUGGUAAUUAGCUAACCAGAGAGUUGGUCAGGCAAACUCGGUGGGACCGAUUACUCAAACUCGGUGGGACCAAUUUUGGUAAUAAGUUAACCAGAGAGUUUGCAUUGUAAUCUCGGUAGUACCGAUUGCUCAAACUCAGUAAGACCAAUUUUGAUAAUGGACAUACACAGAGAGAUUACAAUCCCAUCUUGGUGAGACCGAGAUCCCUAUCGGUGAGACAGAAAGAAUCAGUGUGGUCGAUUUUGGCUUUAGGUUUAGGUCAUAUGUGUGGAAGUGGGAAAGUAGUUGAGGGUUUUGGAGUAUAUCACUAAGCACUGUGGAGCAAGAAACUCAUCAAGCAACACCUCAUCCCUCCUUGAAAGUAUUGGCUUUUCCUAUAGACUCAAUGUGAUCUUGGAUCACUAAAAUGUAAAAUGAAGAGUCUUGAGCUUGAAGCUUUAGCCAAUCCUUUGUCCUUAGCAUCUUGAAGGAGUUCCCACAUCCUUUAGUCCAUGCCACUCCAUUGUUGAACUUGUCUGAAAUAUACUAGAUAAAAGUGUUAGUCCAACAAGAGAUAUGUUGACAUUAAUUACCAAAACCACCUAGGGAGCACUUGUGCUUUCAGUUGUACAUCAUGGAGCAAUUCUAUGAUUACAGGAUGACUAAAGAGCGCUUCGUGGUUGAGCAGGCUCAUGAGAUAUAGUCAUUUGCUAGAGAACUUGAGCACUUCAACUGCAUUCUACCGGACAAGUUUGUUGCCGGGGGUAUCAUCACUAAGCUUCCUCCUUCAUGGAGGAACUUUGCUACCUUACUGAAGCAUAAGAGACAGGAGUUUUCCAUUCCGGAUCUCAUUGGUACUCUUGAUGUGGAAGAAAAGGCGAGAGCAAAGGACACACGUGCUUUAGGUAUUGAGGGAGGAUCUAGUGCCAAUCUGGUACAGAAGAAAAACUUCCAGUCCCACAAGUUCAAGAACAAGGGCAAGCUUGAUGGUAAGCAAAGUUUGAUGGGAAGAACAAGGCUGUGCAGCACACGAACUUCAAGAAGAAGAAUGACAAGAAGAAAGGUGUUUGUCAUGUGUGUGGGGAUCCUGAUCAUUGGGCUCCAAGUUGCCCUAAUCGCUAUGACAAGCGUCACUCUGGGAAAGGCAGCAAGACCGCUAAUGUUGUCAUUGGAGACACUGACAUGAAGGAUGCUGGGUAUGGUAUAUUUCCCACUAUUCUUUCAGUAUGUCAUUCUCCUGAUUGGUUAAUUGACACGGGUGCUAAUGUGCAUGUAUGCGGUGAUAUUUCCAUGUUUUCGUCUUAUCAGACCGCAGGGACUUCAACCGUCCUAAUGGGCAACGGUUCAAGUGCUUUUGUUCGUGGUGUUGGCACGGUCGAUCUGAAGUUCACUUCGAGGAAGAUCGUGCGGCUGAAGAACGUGCAGUAUGUCCCCUCCGUCAAUAAAAAUCUUGUUAGCGGAUCUCUUCUAUGUAGAGAUGGCUAUAAGCUUGUCUUUGAGUCAAAUAAAUUUGUAAUAUCCAAGUAUGGAACCUUUGUUGGUAAAGGCUAUGAGUCAGGAGGCCUAUUUCGUUUAUCCUUAUCAGACAUUUGCAAUAAAGUUGUUAAUCAUAUUUGCAACAAUAGUGAAUCAAAUGUGUGGCAUUCACGUCUUUGUCAUGUUAACUUUGGUUGCAUGUCGCGACUAGCGAAGUUGAACUUAAUCCCUAGUUUCACCACUGUCAAGGGAUCUAAGUGUUAAGUGUGUGUGCAAGCUAAGCAACCUCGUAAGUCUCAUGUGACUGCGGAGACGAGAAAUCUUGCACCACUAGAACUUAUACAUUCAGAUCUAUGUGAAGUGAAUGGUGUUUUGACAAAAGGUGGAAAGAAAUAUUUCAUGACGUUAAUUGACGACUCCAGUAGAUACUGCCGUGUGUAUCUUCUGAAAUAUAAGGAUGAGGCUUUGAACUCUUUCAAGAUCUAUAAAGCUGAAGUGGAAAACCAACUUGAUCGAAAAAUCAAGAGGCUUAGGUCCGACCGUGGUGGAGAGUAUUUUUCCAAUGAAUUUGAUGCUUUUUGUGCGGAACAUGGUAUAAUCCAUGAGAGGACGCCUCCCUACUCACCUCAGUCAAAUGGGGUGGCCGAAAGAAAGAACCGUACUCUAACUGAUUUGGGUAACGCCAUGUUAGACACAUCGGGUCUCUCCAAGGCAUGGUGGGGGAGGCGAUAUUGACAACAUGUCAUGUCCUAAAUCGAGUCCCCACAAAGAAUAAAGAGAUAACUCCAUUCGAGGAAUGGGAGAAGAAAAGAUUAAAACUCUCUUAUCUGCGAACAUGGGGUUGUUUGGCGAAAGUCAAUAUUCCAAUUCCAAAGAAGCGUAAGCUUGGACCAAAGACUGUGGAUUGUGUUUUCCUGGGAUAUGCUUUUCAUAGCAUUGGUUAUGGAUUCUUGGUUGUAAAAUCUGAGGGUUUCUGACAUGCAUGCCGGUACGAUCAUGGAGUCGAAUGAUGCGACUUUCUUUGAAGAUAUCUUUCCCAUGAAGGAUAUGGCUACCUCAUCUAAUCAGGAGAUGCCUAGUUCAUCGAAUCAGGAACCAGUUACAAUUAUUGAACCUGCCAUUCCGAUGGAACACUUUGAAAUUCCUGUGGAGGAGAACAAUGAAGUUCCUACGAGGAGCAAGAGACAGAGGACAACAAAGUCCUUUGGUGAUGAUUUUCUUGUGUAUCUCAUAGAUGAUACUCCCAGUUCUAUUUCGGAGGCCUAUGCAUCGGAAGAUGCUGACUACUGGAAGGAAGCGGUUCGUAGCGAGAUGGAUUCCAUCUUGGCGAAUGAAACUUGGGAGAUAACUGAUCGUCCUUAUGGGUGCAAACCUAUAGGAUGCAAAUGGGUAUUCAAGAAGAAGCUUAGGCCUGAUGGUACUAUCGAAAAGUACAAGGCUCGGCUCGUGGCUAAGGGUUAUACCCAAAAGGAAGGUGAAGACUUCUUUGAUACUUACUCACCUGUGGCUCGACUGACCACUAUUUGAGUUCUACUUUCACUAGCUGCCUCACAUGGUCUUCUCGUUCAUCAAAUGGAUGUUAAGACUGCUUUCCUAAAUGGAGAGUUGGAUGAGGAAAUUUAUAUGGAACAACCAGAUGGGUUUGUAAUAGAUGGUUAGGAAGGGAAAGUGUGCAAGUUGCUGAAGUCUUUGUAUGGACUCAAGCAAGCACCCAAACAGUGGCAUGAGAAGUUCGAAAGAACUUUAACAGCUGCAGGCUUUGUUGUAAACGAAGCUGACAAAUGUGUGUACUAUCACCAUGGUGGGGGCGAGGGAGUUAUGCUUUGCUUGUAUGUUUAUGACAUACUGAUUUUCGGAACAAAUCUGAAUGUUAUUAAGGAAGUCAAGGAUUUCCUAUCUCGCUAUUUUGAGAUGAAGGAUUUAGGAGUGGCUGAUGUCAUUCUGAACAUCAAGUUGUUGAGAGACGAUGAUGGUGGGAUUACAUUGCUUCAAUCUCACUAUGUGGAAAAGAUCUUGAGUCGGUUUGGCUACAGUGACUGCAAGCCCUCUCCAACACCAUAUGAUGCUAGUGUGUUGCUUCGAAAGAAUCGAAGAAUUGCUAGAGACCAAUUGAAAUAUUCUCAGAUUAUUGGCUCGCUUAUGUACUUAGCCAGUGCUACAAGACCUGACAUCUCUUUUGCUGUCAGCAAACUGAGCCGGUUUGUCUCAAAACCAGGAGAUGUGCAUUGGAAAGCUCUAGAGAGAGUUUUUCGUUAUUUGAAAGGCACUGCGAAUUAUGGAAUUCACUACAUGGGGCACCUAAAGGUGCUUGAAGGGUAUAGUGACUCAAACUGGAUCUCAGAUGCUGAUGAGAUAAAGGCCACGAGCGGAUAUGUAUUCACUCAUGGAGGUGGCGCUGUUUCUUGGAAGUCUUGCAAGUAGAUCAUCUUAACGAGGUCAACAGUGGAAGCAGAACUCACAGCACUAGAUACAGCUACGGUCGAAGUAGAUUGGCUUCACCGGCUCUUCAAUGACUUGCCGGUUGUUGAGAAAUCUGUACCGGGUAUCCUUAUGAACUGCGACAAUCAAACUAUGAUCACGAAAGUGAACAGCUCAAAGGAUAACAUGAAGUCAUCAAGACACAUUCAGAGAAGGUUAAAGUCUAUCAGAAAAAUGAGAAACUCCAAAGUUAUUGCAUUGGAUUAUAUCCAAACAUCUAAAAAUCUGGCAGAUCCUUUCACUAAUGGUCUAUCACGUAAUGUGAUAGAUAAUGCAUCGAGGGAGAUGGGUAUGAGACCCACAAUAUGAGUUGUUCACAGUGGUAACCUAUUCUUUGUGAUCGGAGAUCCCGUGAAUUAGAUGUGGAAGACAAGCUGUUUGUCAACUGGGAGGAGAGUAUCCUUACUGUUAAAAAUACCACUCCAUGAAGAUGCAAUACUCUCCUAAUCUGCAUGGCAAGUUGAUGUAUAUCUUAAUGUGUUCUAAGUGGCUCUUUGAAGCAGAGAUGUUGUCCCGCGGAACAUCUUUUGAAGAACACACCUAUAUGAGUCUGAUUGUCAAACGUCGCAAUCUAUGAGAGUAGGGUUCUCUCUAGUAAACUCAUGAAAGGUCACAGAGUAUGACGCAUAAGCUCCACCCGUGGGGAAGACCCACGGUAGCCACGUACCGGUCAAGGUUUUAUGCGAAGCUAGAUUCGCGGAAAACUUGCAGUUCAAGGCCCAGUCCAGUGUUCAAGUUGCUUACUAGUGUAGCAUAGAGUUCUAGGUGGAAGUUCAACUUAACAGUCUCCACUGCAGUACCGGUAUAUAAAACAGUGUUUUGGAACCAAAGGCAAAUUUUUGUGUGCCUCUGGGAUCUGGUGGGGGAUUGCUGGAAUUUAGUCUAUUUGGGCAGCCCAAUAACUAUUUCAGAAAUUCCUAAUAAAUCCUAGAGGCCCACUCAGCCCAUUUGUGCAAGGCAAGGGAUACUACUAAAGUUUAGUCCCACAUUGCUAGUUUAGUGGGAGUUGGACCUCCUUAUAAGGGAGGUUCUUUCCCUACUUGUAUGAGCAUGAGAACAAGAGGGACAUCCACGCGUGCUCCUCCUCCGCCGCUCGCCUCGCCAUGCCACGCAUCGUCACGACACACCGCGCCGCGGGUUGCGGGAAUGAGCCGAGCCGAUGUCUAAUUUUUGCCACGCACUACGGGUAUACGAAAGGUCACUUGGGAGCUGAAAAGUUUUUGCGGUAGUGGAUAAUGAAUAUAGACGGCGCACCUCUUCGCGUGCUACCUCUUCACUUCGUCUCCCUCCGUUGCUUCACCUCCCGUCACAGCCUGUUCGUGUCCCUCUCCUAUGCCUAUAUAAGAGAGGUCGCUCCUCUCCAGAGAGACACAUCAGAAGGUCAUCUUCCUCUCGCCACACAGUUCCAAUCUCCGCGCUGCUACUGUCUUCCUCAUCCCAGCUUGCAGCAUGCACCGCGAGUCGGGACAGUAGUCCUCCGAAACUGCACCUUUUGAGUCCUGUACGGGAGAAGGGUGAUAAGGUUUUUGGGGAGCGCUCUGCGUGACUACUAGCUUCUUCGUCACGGACGCCCCGGACUUCGACGACUACUUCCCCGACGACGAGUACUUCCCCGACGUCGACGACCUCCUCGAUGACAUGGCAUGCGAGGACACCGACCCCAAGUCUAGCGCUUCUGCUGGUGUUGUGCCAUACGUGUUCUUCUCCUUUCUGUUAGAAGUCCUGCUACAGUUCUUGGCUCUAGUUUCUGCCCUACGUAUGUUAGGUUCUAUGUCAUAUAAGCAACUUCAUCUAGUGUCUGUUCUAGAUGUGUUUAGCUCAAGUUCAUAUAUGCAGAUGAUGUUUACCUUCUCUCUGUUCAUAUAAGGUUCUAGUGGAUAAUGAAUACGAAUGGCGCACCUCUUCGCGUGCUACCUGUUCACUUCGUCUCCCUCUGUUGCUUCACCUCCCGUCGCAGCCUAUUCGCGUCCCUCUCCUGUGCCUAUAUAAGAGAGGUCGCUCCUCUCCAGAGAGACACAUCAGAAGGUCCUCUUCCUCUCGCCACACGGUUCUAAUCUCUGCACUGCUGCUGUCUUCCUCAUCCCGGCUUGCGGCGUGCACCGCGAGUCGGGACAGUAGUCCUCCGAAACCGCACCUUUUGAGUCAUGUACGGGAUAAGGGUGAUAAGGUUUUUGGGGAGCGCUCUGCACGACUACUGGCUUCUUCGUCAUGGACGCCCCGAACUCCGAUGACUACUUCCCCGACGUCGACGACCUCCUCGACGACAUGGCAGGCAAGGACACCGACCCCAAGUCUAGCGCUUCUGCUGCUGCUGUGUCGUACGUGUUCUUCUCCUUUCUAUUAGAAGUCCUUGUAUAGUUCUUGGCUCUAGUUUCUGCCCUACGUAUGUUAGGUUCUAUGUCAUAUAAGCAACUUCAUCUAGUGUCUGUUCUAGAUGUGUUUAGCUCAAGGUCAUAUAUGUAGACGAUGUUUACCUUCUCUCUGUCAGAUUGCAUGACUUGCUUUAAAUUUGCUAUUUUAGUCAUGCUUUAUCUAGUAUUUCCGUUAGCAAAAUUAUUUGGUAAAUUGCUCACAUUUCCAACAGUUUUCAUCACGGUCAUAUGAUUCGCGUUCGGUACUUUGAUAAUUUGAUAUGUGGGUGGACCGGUGCUUGGGUACUGCCCUUACUUGGACAAGCAUCCCACUUAUGAUUAACCCCUAUUGCAAGCAUCCGCAACUACAAAAGAAGUAUUAAGGUAAACCUAACCACAACAUUAGACAUAUGGAUCCAAAUCAGCCCCUUACGAAGCAACGCAUAAACUAGGGUUUAAGCUUCUGUCACUCUAGCAACCCAUCAUCUACUUAUUACUUCCCAAUGCCUUCCUCCAUGCCCAAACAAUGGUGAAGUGCCAUGUAGUCGACGUUCACAUAACACCACUAGAGGAAAGACAACAUACAUCUCAUCAAAAUAUCGAACGAAUACCAAAUUCACAUGACUACUAAUAGCAAGACUUCACCCAUGUCCUCAGGAACAAACGUAACUACUCACAAAGCAUAUUAAUGUUCAUAAUCAUAGGAGUAAUAAUAUGCAUUAAGGAUCUGAACAUAUGAUCUUCCACCAAGUAAACCAAUUAGCAUCAACUACAAGAAGUAAUCUACACUACUAGCAACCCAUAGGUACCAAUUUGUGGUUUUGAUACUAGAUUGGAUACAAGAGAUGAACUAGGGUCUUGAGAGGAGAUGGUGCUGGUGAAGAUGUUGAUGGAGAUUGACCCCCUCUCGAUGAGAGGAUCGUUGGUGAUGACGAUGGUGAUGAUUUCCCCCUCCCGGAGGGAAGUUUCCCUCGGCAGAAUAGCUCUACCGGAGCUCUAGAUUGGUUCCGCCAAGGUUCUACCUCGUGGCGGCGGAGUUUCGUCCCGUAAGCUUGCCUCUGAUUUUUUCCAGGGUAAAAGCCUUCAUAUAGCAGAAGAUGGACACCGGAGGGCCACCAGGGGGCCCAGGAGACAGGGGGCGUGCCCAGUAGGGGUGGGCGCGCCCCCACCCUCCUGGCCAGGGUGUGGGCCCCCUCUAGUGUUUCUUUCGCUCAAUAAUUCUUAUUAAUUCCAAAACUGACUUCCGUGGAGUUUCAGGAUUUUUGGAGCUGUGCAGAAUAGGUUUCCAAUAUUUGCUCCUUUUCCAGCCAGAAUUCCAGCUGCCGGCAUUCCCCCUCUUCAUGGUAAACCUUAUAAAAUAAGAGAGAAUAGCCAUAAGUAUUUAGAUAUAAUGUGUAAUAACAACCCAUAAUGCAAUGAAUAUUGAUAUAAAAGCAUGAUGCAAAAUGGACGUAUCAAUUAUGGAAUCCUGAAACAAAUACGGUUUUCAUGAGCAGGAGUGCUGUUUUCAAUGGAUCUGUUAUGUAUCAUGAUGAUCUGUCCACAUAUACUUUUGAUGUAGAGCCAUAACAAUUUACUCUGCAGGUGGAGCAUGUUGAUGAGGAGGAAAAAUAUAAAUGUUGAUAAUGAUAAUGUUGCUCUAGAUGCACAGGUUAAUGAUAAUGUUGAUGCCCUAGAUAAAGAGGUUCAUGAUGAUGAUGUGCAACACUCACCCCUAUUUUGCAGCGACAAAUUCAGUCGCUUGUCACUGGCAGGAGAAAGAGAGUCAUUAACAAACCUAAACGCCUAAUUAAAGAGUGUGACAUUGUUCAUUAUGCUUUUAGUUGUACAGAACAGGUUGAGAACAUACAUGAGCCGUCCACAUACACUGAAGUGGUUGUUUCCGGUGACCGCGACAAGUGGAUUGUAGCUAUGUAGGAAGAGAUGCAGUCACUUGAGAAAAAUGGCACAUGGGAUGUUGUGCACUUGCCUAAACAAAAGAAGACCGUUUGCUGCAAAUAGAUAUUCAAAAGAAAUGAGGGUUGGUCUCCUAGAGAGCCGCAAGGCUAAGGGCUUCAGUCAGAUACCAGGUAUUGAUUAUAAUGAUGUGUUCUCUCCACUUGUGAAACAUAAUUCCAUUAGUGCAUUUUUCGGUAUUGUUGCUAUGCAUGAUCUUGAGCUUAAGCAGUUAGAUAUCAAGACUGCUUUUUGAUACGUCCAUUUUGCAUCAUGUUUUUAUGUUGAUAUUUAUUGCAUUAUUGUAGUGCCCCUUAGUGAUUUUGGUGUAUUGAAGACUUAUAGGUUAAGGGACUGGUGCGUUUGUGAGUGUACACAUGUCUAUAAGUCUAUGAGGAGUUUGAUAUUUACAGAGAAAGUCGACCCCUAAAAAUGAAGUUCUUCAACUGAAGACUUUGGAUCUCUGAAGACUUUCUGAAGACUUUGAAAGUGAAGAAAUUGGUGUGACCUUGAAGACUAGGCAAUCAUUCGAGGAACAUGAAGCGUGAAGACUCUUGUUUUUGUAGUUUCAUUUUCUCUUUCUUGAGUCAUAGGAAACACCGUACUAUUAAAGGGGGUCGAGGAAAUACUAAGGAAAAAUUUCCAUGUGAUUCUCAACUCAAAAUCCUACACCUACCAAUCCCUUCGAGUGAAGCCAUUGGAAAUCUCAUACAGUUCAGUCAUAUUCUUCAGUGACAUAGACAAAGUUCUUCUGGUCUCUGAGGAAUUUGUUCUGACUGAGGAGUUAGGAAUUCACCAGUGUGAAUUGCCUACACAGUGAGGAACAUGAUAGCCCUGAGGAUUUUGAUAGUAAAAAUUCCGACCGUUGCUGUGCUAUGCGCCAGUGGUUCCAAAAUAUCUACCCACCUAACGGUCAUAUCAGACAAGGGCAUUUAUGUCUUAUCAUGUUGGGCUGCUCCCUAGGCUAUAAAUAGCCGCCCCCUUAAACCACUAGCUGGUUGGCUGCUCCGAGAGAAACUGACACUUGUCAAUUGUGAGCAUCCCAUCCUCCAAGGACUUUGAGUGAAAAUCAUCAAGUGAGGAAAACCCAAAACCCAACACCUACAAACCCAAAGUGAUUGAGCAUCACUAAAGAGAUUGAUCAUGCGUGGAUCCAACGCUUAUUUCCUUUGAAGACUGUGCUUCUUCCAGACAGUUAGGCGUCAAGGUCUAGAGCAUCCAAGAGGAAUUGUGGAUCGCCGAGUGACUGAGUUUGUGAAGGUUCAGAAGUCACCUAAAGACUUACCACGAGUUAUUGGGCGAGGUCUGUGUAACCUUAGCUCAAGGAGAAUACGGUGAGGACUGUGUGUCCGGGACUGGGUGUCCUCGAGUUUAAAUACUCAGCCGCUCCAACCAGAUGUACAACUAAGACAACAGUUGGAACUGGUCUACCAAAUCAUUGUCUUCACCAAGCCUACUGGUUCUAUUUCCUCAACUCUUUCAUUUCCUCAUGUCUGUUGUUGUGUGCCUGUUCAUAUCUGUUUGAAGGCUUUGACUGAAGACUUUCUCAAUUUCCUCAGAUCAAUUUCUUUAGUCUGUCCGUCUUCUUUCUUGUGUUAUCCUGUGUUUACGCUUUCUGUACUCUGUGCUUGUCUUCAUUUCAUCAUGAUGACUAUGCUUGUGUUCUGUUAUGUUUACUUCUGAGUACUUAUUCCGCUGCUAGUAGUUCUUCAUUUAGGAAUUUCCUCACCAGCAAAUUCCUCAGUGAAGAAUUCAUAAAAAUCGCCUAUUCACCCCCCCCUCUGGUCGAUAUAACGCACUUUCAAUUAUGGACUGUUGUUUCACUUUAUAAUAAAAUUCUUAUGCCUUGUCUCUCGUAUUUUGCAAGUUCAGAGAUCACGGGCAGCCGGAAUUCUGGACCGGAAAGGGCUACAUCAGAGGCACUUUUUCUAAACAUCUCCAAAUGAGCUAAAAAUGACGAAGAAUUAUUUUGGAAUAUAUUAAAAUUAUUGGAGAAAUAGAUACCAUAGGCGGACCUACCAAGUAGCAGCCACAAGCUUGGGGGAGUGCCCACCCCCUGGGUGCCCCCCCUGAGCUUGUGAUGCCCCUUGCAGGCCUCCGGGGCCCAUGUUAUCCCAUAUGAUGCCAUUUCCCUAGAAAAAAAUCAGAAGGAAGGUUUCAGGAGGAAGCGUCGCCAUCUCGAGGCGGAACCAGGGCAGGAGUACUUUUGCUCUCCGGCGGAGAGAUUUCGCUGGGGAAACAUCCCUCCAGGAGGGGGAAAUCAAAUCCAUCGUCAUCACCAAUGAUCCUCUCAUCAUGGGAGGACCAAUCUUCAUCAACACCUUCACCAACACCAUCUCAUCUCAAACCCUAGUUCAUCUUGUAUUCAAUCUUUGUCUCAUAACCUCGGAUUGGUACCUGUGGGUCGCUAGUAGCGUUGAUUAGAUCUUGUAGUUGAUGCUUGUUGGUUUAUUUGGUGGAAGAUCAUAUGUGCAUAUCCUUGAUGCUAUUCAAUACCCCUCUGAUCUUGAGCAUUAAUAUGUUUUGUGUGUAGUUAUGUUUGUUCUUAAGGAUUAAACAUUAUAUUUCAGGUACGCCCAUUAAUGGUGAAACUAAUAGUAUCCAAAAUAUGACGCCGGAGGAACACAUAAGGGAAACUUUCUAGAAUUCCCUAGAGCCUUGAAAAAGGGAUAGGUACGUGGUACGGUAAGUAAACUGACUCAAAAAGUUCCAUUAAAGUACUUUCUGUCUGUUUUGGAAUAUUUAAAAAUUUAGGAAAAUAAUAAAUAGUCUAAAAAGCGCAUGAGGGAGCGACAAGCUCGAGGGGCGCACCCCACCCCCUUGGGCACGCUCCUCUAUUUUGUGGCCCCAUCGUGGACUUUCCAAACGCCAUUUUUCUUCCAUGUUACUUGUCCUACAUGAAAAAAAUCAUUAUAUAUACUUCCUGAGGUUUUGACCACCGUAUGUCCGUACCGCAGGGAUAUCUUCUGUUCCUAUUUCGUGUUGUUUUUCUGACAUAUCUGAAAGCAUGUCGUCCCAAGAUUCAGAUGGAGAGAGCUAUGUUUCCCACUACAUUGCAAACCCAAGGAUCUAUGGAGAUGUGGAUUCUUAUGGCUAGUCCACGGAAGAAGAACGAGAUGUUGAUCUGAAGGGAACAGGGAACACCAACUCAGAAUAAGAUGAAGCUCCUUUACCUCAACCCGGGGAUAUGCAUGUGGAAUUCAAGAAGUCAAGUCUCCGAAAUAAAGGAAAACAAGGAUGCAUUAUGUAAAAAUGUAUUGAAACUUGAGCAAGAACUCAAUAGGCUGAGGGAGGAAAAUUGCAUCCUAACACUUAAGCUGAAGGACAAGCCCACCACAUCAUCAUCACCAUCAUCACCAAAGGAGACUUGAGUACAUGGGUAUGGGCUUCCCUUGGCUUGUGCCAAGCUUGGGGGAGGUGCCCCGGCAUCGUACCACCAGCACUUUUAUCAUCAUUAUCUAUCAUAACUCGAUCCCUAUUUCAUGAUUUAGAAGAAUAAAGUUUUAAUAUGAUCUAUUUUCGAGUGCUUUCUUAGUGAUCUAUCUAUCUGAGUAAUCGUGUGUGAGAUAUAUAAUAAAGAGUAGUUGAGUUUUGCUUUCUUGUUUCAAUCUUAGCAUUGAAAAAUAAAAGAAUAAAAGAUCAUAUGCUACUCCCAUGGGGUCUAAUGACUUCUCAUAAAUGAAGUAUAGUUGGUAAAAUUUGUUGGAAGUUGACAAGCGUAGCAUUGGUCAUUGGUAUAAUCCAUGAAAAAAGUAAUAAAGGAAGAGAAGACUCACAUAUAAAUAUACUAUCUUGGGCAUCUUUUAUGAUUGUUAGCCCCCAUCAAGUAUUCUAUAUCAAUUAGUUGACGUUGAACAAGGAAGACAAUGUAAUGAGUUAUAGUUGUUUUCAUUCACAUAGAAGUUAUAUUGUUAUGGAUCUCUAACAUGUGGUGCUUGUCUAGGAUCUUUUGCUAGCCCAAAAAUUCACACUAAGUAGAGAUACUACUUGUGCUUCCAAAACCCUUAAACCCAGUUUCAUGUCAUGAGAGUCCACUAUAUCUACAUAGGGAUUGAAUAAGAUCCUUCAAGUAAGUUGUCAUCGGUGCAAAAGCAAUACAAAUUGCUCAUAAAUAUGUAUAAUGUUUUAUUGUAAGGGAAAGUAAGCUUUGUAUGAUCUUGUGAUGGUGAAGAAAUAAAAGCGACAGAAUGCAUAGUAAAUGUUGCUAUCACAAGGGGAAAUAUAAAGUGAGGUACAUUUACAUUAAGAGUUUGCACGUCGAAAAAUAAAAAACACAUGACAACCUCUAAUUCCCUCUACGAAGGGCCUAUCUUUUACUUUCAUGCGUUUACUUUCAUGUAUUUACUUUUAUGCAAGAGUCAUUAGUGUUUAUCCUUUUUUCUCUCUAUCUACUCUCUAGUGGCAAGCAUCAUGUGGUAGAUAGAUCCAGACAUAUAUAUCCAGUUGUAUGUAGGUGAUCAUGAGUUAUUAUUGUUGACAUUACCCUUGAGGUAAAGGCAAAACCAUUCCCUGUGUGAAGGGCCUAUCUUUUACUUUCAUGCAUUUACUUUCAUGUAUUUACUUUUAUGCAAGAGUCAUUAGUGUUUAUCCUUUUUUCUCUCUAUCUNNNNNNNNNNNNNNNNNNNNNNNNNNNNNNNNNNNNNNNNNNNNNNNNNNNNNNNNNNNNNNNNNNNNNNNNNNNNNNNNNNNNNNNNNNNNNNNNNNNNNNNNNNNNNNNNNNNNNNNNNNNNNNNNNNNNNNNNNNNNNNNNNNNNNNNNNNNNNNNNNNNNNNNNNNNNNNNNNNNNNNNNNNNNNNNNNNNNNNNNNNNNNNNNNNNNNNNNNNNNNNNNNNNNNNNNNNNNNNNNNNNNNNNNNNNNNNNNNNNNNNNNNNNNNNNNNNNNNNNNNNNNNNNNNNNNNNNNNNNNNNNNNNNNNNNNNNNNNNNNNNNNNNNNNNNNNNNNNNNNNNNNNNNNNNNNNNNNNNNNNNNNNNNNNNNNNNNNNNNNNNNNNNNNNNNNNNNNNNNNNNNNNNNNNNNNNNNNNNNNNNNNNNNNNNNNNNNNNNNNNNNNNNNNNNNNNCGCCUCCACCACCCCCCGGGGCAACCGCCGCUGCCCCUGGCUCCAGCGCGCGGCCACCCCAGCCUUCACCUGUUCUCCUCCACCGGCGAGCCCCCAUGGCUGUCCUCCGCCACGGCCACGCCGCACCUUCGCCGGCCGCUGCGCCUCCGUCGACCUUCUCCCACCAGCGCAGCCUCCAACCAUGUUCCACGACCACCGCGCCUCCCCAGGACCUCCACCCGCCGCCGCUGCAGUUCCCCAUCGCCUCCGCCCACUGACGCCACCGCGGAUCCCCGUCGUCACCGCGGAUCCCCAACACCACCACGCACCCUUGACUAUGGUGGCCACCGGCGACCUUCCUCCGUGCUAGAGCUGCCUCCCUCUUGCCUGGAUCCGGCCCCGCAUCUCCCUCUACUGGAUCUCGCCCUGGCGUAGCCCCAAGCCUCAGUCCAGCCGCCACUUCACCCCUGCACCUGGGUUCGGCCGCCACGCUGCACUAGCCCCUCGAUUUGGCCGUCGUCAGCACCACCCAUCCCCCCACCUCAACACCCACCCCCACCUCCCCUACGCACAUGAGCGCCAUAUCCACCGCCAGCCACGAAGUGCGUCGCCCAGGAGCCCACGGCCCCAUUCCCGGAUGCCGUCCUUCCUCGGUGGCGCACCAUGGACGUCUUCAUCUUCUACCUUGAACUUCUUCUUCAACCUCCUGCCUCGUCGUCUUGGCGUUACUCUUGCCGAGGUAAUCUUCAUCCCCAUACAGCUAUUCCCUUCUCUAUUUACAGGAUUUUCUGCAACCUUGUUUCAGUCUAUUUUCUUGACACUGACACUGCUCUUCUAAUUUGUUAUGUGACUACAGGAUUCAAAAAAGAUGCACAUGCUCUGAGCUGAUUCGUUUAGAAUUUUCUUAGAUUGACUAGGAGUCAUUUUUCCUGCAAUCUAGAAAUGUACAGAAUGAAUUUUGAGGGAGUUCACUAUGGUUCCUUGGUGGCCUAUAAAAUUUAUGCAUUAUUUCGUAGAGGACCUGGGGCGUACACCAUUGACUUCAUAUGCUCAUUCAGUUUUUGUAAAAAUUGAAUAUGACCAUGCCUGAACGAACAACAAACUUCCUGAGAAUAUCAUCUCCAAAAAUGUUGUGUUGUUCUCCAAAUUUUCUGAAUUUUGAAUUUUUGUUUAUGCAAAGGACAAGUAUGUUAGUUGCAACACAACAUAUUGUAAUUCUUUGGCUUUGUGGGUUUUCAGAGCUCCGUGGAAAUACUAUAGUUUUCCCCUGUUUUUUGGGGUGAAUAAAACAAUAUUUUAUAUAGGAAGAACGAAAAAAGGUUCACCUAGAAUAGUGUUAACUCUUGAAGUUCAGGUUUAAUAAAUUGGAGAGGUCAACAAAAAUGAGAAAAUAAAAAAGUGACACAUUUGUUUGUACAGAAAAAAGCUCAUGGAUUUUUUCGUCUUUGGAUAAUGGGUUUUCCUCAUUUCUAAAAUAACCUAGAAGUUCAAGCUUAAAAAACGAUCAUUUAAAAAAUUAUAAAAAGCAUGGAUUUCUCCGUUUCUAGAAAAACCUAGACUGUUAAAUUUAAAAGACAAAGUAGUCCAAUGUUUAUUACAAACCCCAAAAGGUUAAACGAAAAAACAAAGCAUCUCAACACAAAUUUAUAUAAAAGGUAUUUUAUCCGUUAAAAUACCCUAGACGUUCAAAUAUAUAAAAUGGAGCAGUUCGAUGGUUAUGCAAAAUUCUGAUUUUCCUCUUUAUUAUAGAAUGAAAAAAGAAGUUCAAUUUUUUAAAAUAGAGUAGUACAAAAUACAUACAAAAGGAUUUUCAUUGUUUCUUAUAAAAAACUCUAGAAGUUCAUAUCUAAAUAACGGGCUGGUUCAAUAUUUAUUAGAAAACUAGGAUUUUUCCGUUACUACAAGGAAAUAAACCAAGAAGUCCAAAUUACAAAAAUAGAGAAGUUCGAUAUUUAUAAAAUCUUAGGUUUACUUGUUACUAAGGAAUAAAAAUGAAGAAUUUCAAAUUAAAAUAAAGGGUUACUUUGAUGUAUAUGGGAAACUGAAAUUCUUUUCGUUUCUAGGAAAAAGGAAAGCUAGAAGUUCAAUUUUAAUAAAAUUGUAUGAUUCUAAAACCAUAUUAUUUUUUCUUCGGAGAAUAAAACUAUUAACGUUUUAAGAAUUAUGGGUAAAAAAGCAAAAAGCAAAAGAGAAGUUCAAAGUGAAAACAACCGGUGAUUCAACUACUACAUGAAGUGUGUUUCAUAUAAGAAAAAAAGAAUAAAAAACAAAGUCUAAAAAGACUUUAGCUAGAAGUUCACGUGUUUCGGUCCACGAAGUUCAAAAAUUCUUGUAAAGGAGGUUCACGAUGUAUUUAGUAGUGCAAAAACACACAAAAAUGUUGUUUGUAGUGUUUUAAAAUAGUUUUCUCAAUCCAUUAUAAAUUUGAAACAUAAUGCUUGGCACAGAAAUGUUCUUAUAUUCAAAAAAUUCCCAAGGUUAUAUCAUAUUCUUAUUCCAACAUAAAUGGUUAAAAACAAAUUGGUGUAUAUUGUCCGAAAAAGAAGUUUAAUCGUAUGAAAAAAAGUUGCGUCUUUUCAACAUGUUUCUAAUGGUUUAUCUUUUGUGGAACUCCGAGUAACGGGUGAGGAAUUAUGAACAAAAAUACGUGGUAGAAGUUCGAUGAUUAUAGAAAACUCGGAUUUUUCCUCGUUAUUAAAGAAUGGAAACAAGAAGUUCAAAAAUAAAAUAACAAGAAGUUCAACUUUUAAAAAUAGAGCACUUCAAAAUUUUAUAAAAAGGAUUAAGAAAUAAAACCAGGAAGUCCAUAUUAAAAAGAUGGAGAAGUUCGAUGAUUAUAGAAAACUCAGAUUUCCCUCGUUAUUAAAGAAUGGAAACAAGAAGUUCAAAAAUAAAAUAACAUGAAGUUCAACUUUUAAAAAUACAGCGCUUUAGAAUUCAUAAAAAAAGAAUUAAGAAAUUCAGAUUAAUAUUCAUGAAAAAACUCAAAUAUUUUCACGUAACCGAGAGAAGUUCAAAUUGAUAACUACCGAAGUUCAUGUACUACACGGUGUGCAUUUGUAUAAAAAUAAUAAUGAAAAAGCAAAGGCUAAAAGUUUUGUUGCUAGAAGUUCAAGUGCUCAGCCCAAGAAAAGUUCAAAAAUUCUUGUGAGAGAGGUUGAACAAAAAUAUGUGACAGAAGUUCAAGGAGAAAACAGCGGGACAUUCAACUACUACACGGAAUGUGUUUCAGAUAAGAAUAUAAGAAUAGAAAACCAAAAGCUUAAAAGGUUUGUUGCAAGAAGUUCACAUGGUCCUCCAUGCACGGUGCAAAAUUAAUAUUGCGGGACAUCCGACCUCCAAUUACAUGUUUGAAAAUAGCAAAAAAUGACGUCCGACCUUCAAUUGCAUGUAAUUCAAUGUAUGCACAAAAAUGUGACAGAAGUUCAGAGUGAAAACAACGAGGAGUUCAAGUACUACAAGGAAUGCAUUUUUGGUGAGAAUAAAAGUAUAGAAAAAUAAAAGUUUAAAAGGUUUGUUGAAAGAAGUUCAAGUGCUCUUUCUGGGGAAGUUCAAAAAUUUUGGCGAGAGAGGUUCACCUUGUAUUUCCAUGUUCGAUUUUUUCCGUAUAAAAAUUGAAUACAAUUCUUUACUCAAAAUAUAGAAAGGUGAAGUUCAAAUUGAAAUAACAGAGAAGUUCAGAGUUUAUUAAAACAUAGGAUUUAGCUGUUCAAAAAAUAAAAAAUCACAACACCUUUUUUGCACUUUAAAAAACAACUCAUAAACGAAAAAAAAAUGGUUGCUAGAAGUUUAAGUGCUCGGCGAGGAAAAGUUGAAAAAUUCUUCUGAGAGAGGUUCACCGUGUAUUUAGAUGUCCAAAAUACAUAAAAAUUAUGUUAUUUUUUGUGUUUUAAAAUAAUUCUCUCAAACGAGAGAGAAGUUCAAAGUGAUAACAACCGGAAGUUCACGUACUACAUGGUGUGUAUUUCAUAUAAGAAAGAAUACAAAAAAAGUGAUACAAGGUGAAGUUCAAACAGAGAUGCCCCAGAAGUUCAAUUACUUCACGUAGUGCAAAAAACACCACGUAAAAAAUCAGUACGUCAAAAACAAAGUGAAGUUCGAACAGACUCGUCCUAGAAGUUCAACUACUUCACACAGUGCAAAAAACAACACGCUAAAAACAGUGUGAAGUUCGAACAGACAUGCACGAGAAGUUCAACUACUUCACACAGUGUGUUUCCAUUCGCGAUGAAGGCAGAAAUCAUGAUCUCGUCAUUUUCUAAUUUACUUCAAAACAGUAGGAAAUCAUUUGUGUAAGUUCAAGUCCUCGGUCGAAGAAAGUUAAAAAAAUUAUUGUGAGAGAGGUUUGUACAAAAGAAAUAUCAUUUGUGUGACAUUGAUGAAUGUAUGAGAAAAUUACAAAUGAAAAUACGUCACGGAAGUUCAACGUGAAAACAGCUGGAAGUUCAACUACUACACUGAAUGAAUUUCAGAUGAAAAACUUUUAAAACUGUUGCGAGCAUGAAAAAAAUGACCAACACGGGAAAGUUGCGUGUCUACAGCAGCUUUCCAUCGGUAUAUCACUUGCUCAAUUCCGGUGAGUGUUCCGGUGCGUGGAUGGAGAGCUAUAGGCAAAAAAGCACGUGAAAAACAGAGUGAAGUUCAAGGAUUCAUACCGAGAAGUUCAGGUACUUCACGCGAUGCAUUUUCGGCGAAUCUGUUUCACGAUAAAGGCAGAACUAAUGAUCUCGCCGUUUUUCAAAUUACUUGAAAACAACUAGGAAUCAGAGAAAACUAUCAACAUGGAAAAGUUUCACAUUUUCCGUAGCUUUUCAACGGUAUAUUAUUUGUGCCAUUCCGAUAAAGUUUGUAGAAACUACGGUGAAAAUACGUUUUUUGCCAUUUUCUAAACAGAUUUAAAACCGUAAAGAAUUGGGAGAAAUAAUACAUACCAAAACGUUUCGCAUUUGUUCAAGCUUUCUAACGCCAUAUCAUUUGCCACAUUCGGACAAACGGUUAAAAACUUAGCUCGAAAAUACGAACUCGCUAGGACUUAUACUGUUUUCUAAAUUACUUUUAAACCGUUCAAAAUUAGAUAACACUUUCAAAAUUAAAGAGUGGCGCAUUUUCAUAAGCUUUCCAACGCCAUAUCAUAUUCCUCAAUUCGAUUAGUUGUUUAGAAAUGACGUCGAAAAUAUGAACUUGGCUGUUCGGUUUGCGAAAUUUUACGGUUUUUCAAAUUAUUCUUUAACCAUAGAGAAUUAGAGAAAACUUUCAACAUAAGGAAGUAGCGGUUUUGCAGCAGCUUUCCAACGCCAUAUUAUAUGCCUCAUUCCGAUAAACGGUUUAGAAAUGCAAUCUAAAAUACGAUUCAUGUUUUUGUGUGAAGAAAAAACGGUUUUCAAAACUGCUCUUAAACCGCUUACAUUUUGCCAAAAAUUUAAGUUGGGUCAUGAUACUGGUGUCCAUAGCUUUCUAACAGUAUAUCGCAAGCCCCAUUUGGGCAAUGUUGGCGGAAGUUCAACGUAGUUCACAGGGAAGUUUAACGUACUACUAGCGGGGCAGGUCAGGUUGUGAUCAGAAUAUUAUUCUCAUCCCGUGAUCAUANNNNNNNNNNNNNNNNNNNNNNNNNNNNNNNNNNNNNNNNNNNNNNNNNNNNNNNNNNNNNNNNNNNNNNNNNNNNNNNNNNNNNNNNNNNNNNNNNNNNNNNNNNNNNNNNNNNNNNNNNNNNNNNNNNNNNNNNNNNNNNNNNNNNNNNNNNNNNNNNNNNNNNNNNNNNNNNNNNNNNNNNNNNNNNNNNNNNNNNNNNNNNNNNNNNNNNNNNNNNNNNCAUUACCCUUGAGGUAAAUAAGUUGGGAGGCGAAACCAUAAGCCCAUAUCUUUCUAUGUGUCUGACUAAGACUUUUUGCUCUGUAAAUAUGCCUUGACUGUCAGCAAUCAUAGAAGACUAAAUGAUGGUUUAGUAUGUGAACUUUAUAAACAAAGCACUUACAUAGACUCUUUUUGAAAAUAUGAUGGAUUGUGAUUGUUUCAAUGACUUAGAACAUAGCUUGUAAGUUUCCAAUAAAGUUUAUGUUCCAUACUUUAGAUGGUGAAUGAAUUGUUACUCUAGCAUGAGAAGUUUAUGAUGAUAUAUUACUGUUAUGUUAAUGACUAUGAUGCUUCCAUGUCCAUAUUUUAUUUUUAUUGACACCUCUCUCUCUCUCUCUCUCUCUCUCUCUCUCUCUCUCUCUCUAAACAUGUGGUCAUGAUUAUCUAUUUCGGCUUUCGCUUGAGGGCAAGUGAGGUCUAAGCAUGGGGGAGUUGAUACGUACAUUUUGCAUCACGUUCUUAUGUUGAUCUUUAUUGCAUUAUGGAUUGUUUUUCACUUUAUAAUACAAUUCUUAUGCCUUUUCUCUCUUAUUUUGCAAGUUUGACAUAAAGAGGGAGAUCACUGACAGCUGGAAUUCUGGACAGAAACGGGCUACAUUGGUGCCAAUUUUUCUGAACAUCUCCAGAUGAGCUGAAAACUGAUGGAGAAUUAUUUUGGAAUAAAUUAAAAUUAUUGGAGAAAGAAAUAGCAGAUGGGGACCCACCAGGUAGCCACAAGCCAGGGGGGCCGCCCCACCCCCUUGGGCGCAACCCCGAGCUUGUGGCGCCCCUGGCAGGCCUCCGGGGCCCAUCUUCUCCUAUAUGAUGCCAUUUGCCCUAGAAAAAAUCAGAAGGAAGGUUUCGGGAUGAAGCCCCGCCAUCUCGAGGCGGAACCUGGACAGGAGCACUUUUGCUCUCCAAGGAGAGAUUCCGCCGGGGAAACUUCCCUCUGGGAGGGGGGAAUCGAAGCCAUCAUCAUCACCAAUGAUCCUCUCAUCGUGGGAGGACCAAUCUUCAUCAACAUCUUCACCAGCACCAUCUCAUCUCAAACCCUAGUUCAUCUCUUGUAUUCAAUCUUUGUCUCAAAACCUCAGAUUGGUACCUGUGGGUUGCUAGUAGUGUUGAUUACAUCUUGUAGUUGAUGCUUGUUGGUUUAUUUGGCGGAAGAUCAUAUGUUCAGAUCCUUGAUGAUAUUCUUUACCCCUCUGAUUUUGAGCAUGAAUAUGUUUUGUGAGUAGUUACGUUUGUUCUUGAGGACAUGGGAGAAGUCUUGUCAUAAGUAAUCAUGUGAAUUUGGUAGUCGUUCGAUAUUUUUAUGAUAUGCAUGUUGUUGUUUCCCUUAGUGGUGUUAUGUGAACGUCGACUACAUGACACUUCUACAUCAUUGGGCCUAAGGGAAAGCAUUAUGGAGUAGUUAUUAGAUGAUGGGUUGCUAGAGUGACAGAAGCUUAAACCCUAGUUUAUGCGCUAUUCCGUAAUGGGCUGAUUUGGAUCCAUAUGUUUCAUGCUAUGGUUAGAUUUGUCUUAAUUCUUCUUUCAUAGUUGCGGAUGCUUGUGAGAGGGGGUAAUCAUAAGUGGGAGGCUAGUUCAAGUAAGAACAACACUCAAGUACCAGUUCACCCACAUAUCAAAUUAUUAAAGUAACGAACACGAAUCAAACAAACAUGAUGAAAGUGACUAGAUGAAAUUCCCGUGUGUCCUCAAGAAUGCUUUGCUUAUUAUAAGAGACUGUUCCAGUCUAUCCUUUUCUACAAAAAGGAUUGAGCUACCUUGCUGCACCUUUGUUACCGUUACUACUACUAUUUGCCCCGUUACGAAUUUUCUUGCUAUCAAACUAUCUGUUACCGACAAUUUCAGUCCUACAGAAAACACCUUGUUGAAAACCGCUUGUCAUUUCCUUCUGCUCCUCUUUGGGUUCAACACUCUUACUUAUCAAAAGGACUACGAUUGAUGCCUUAUACUUGUGGGUCAUCACUUUUCCGCAUGGUGAACUGGAGGAGGGGAUUUAAAUGGACCAACCAGAAGGUUUCAUAGUGCCUAGUAAGGAGAAAUUUGUUUGCAAGUUAAAGAUGUCCUUAUUUGGUUUGAAACAGUCUCCGAGACAGUGGUAAAAGGUUUGAUUCCUUUAUGAUAGCGCAUGGAUUUAAGAGGUCUGCAUAUAAUAGUUGUGUUUACAUUAAAUUUGUUGAUGGGUCACCUAUAUACUUGCUGUUAUAUGUUGAUGACAUGUUGAUUCUUGCCAAAGGUAAGAAAGAGAUCAUUGCUUUAAAGGCACAGUUAAGUAGUGAGUUUGAGAUGAAGGAUCUUGGUGCUGCUAAGAAUGUUUCAGGUAUGGAUGUUACAAGGGACAGGAAUUCCGCUUUGUUAUUUCUUAGUUAGCAGAGUUACAUUAAGAAAUUUCUUCACCAUUUUGCCUGAUGCUAAGUCAGUAAGCACUUCAAUUGCUCCUCAUUUCAAAUUAUCAUCUCCUCAGUGUCCCAGUACGGAUGAGAUUUUGAGUAUAUGUCAAGAGUUCCAUAUUCUAGUGAUGUCGGUUCUUUAAUGUAUGACAUGGUGUGUUCUAGGCCUGAUUUGUCAUUUGCAAUGAGUUUGGUGAGUAGAUACAUGGCUAACCCCGGUAAAGAACAUUGGAAGGCUGUUUAGUGGUUUCUCAGGUACCUUCGUGGCACUUCCAAUGCUUGUUUAAAAUUUGGUAGGACUGGUGAGAGACUAGUUGGAUAUGUGGAUUCAGAUUUUUCCUUCCAGCGAUUUGGACAAAAAGAGGUCCCUUAUAAGUUAUGUGUUCACUGUUGGUGGUUGUGCCGUGAGUUGGAGGGCAACGUUAUUGCAGCCAGUAGUUUCCCAAUGUACCACUAAAGGCAAAUACAUGGCUAUUACAGAAGCAUGUAAAGAAUCAGUUUGGCUGAAAAGGUUUGUAUGCUGAGCUUCGUGGAGAUAAUUUGUGCAUUAACCUGUUUUCUGAGAGCCAGAGUGCCAUAUACCUCACUAAGGAUCAGAUGCUCCAUGAGAGAACAAAGCACAGUGAUGUCAAAUACCAUUAUGUUAGGGACAUUGUUGAGCAAGGUAAACUAAAAGGUAUGCAAGAUUACUACUCAUGAUAAUCCUGCUGAUAUGUUGACAAAGUCAGUUCCUGUUGCUAAGUUUAAGCUUUGCUCAGACUUAGUUGAUAUAACACAUUAGCCCUAGUGGUUGUUUGGCGCCAAAAGUGUUUUCUUUGUUGUGCAGGGAGAAGGUUCUCAUUCAUGCUAUAAGAUGGAAUUUUUCUCAAGGUGAAGUUUGUUAUGUUAUGAUCCAAAUUCAAGUAUAACAUAAAUGCUAACUUCUGACAAGUGAGCGGAGCGAGACCCGUCGUCUGUAGGCUUGGGCCGAAGUGGAGAUCAGUAUUGACCUAGGUCACCUGUGUUAUAUAUAUGCUUUGUAAGUCACCGUACGAGAUAAGUUGAUCAAUUGUAGAUCCCGGCGCUUGCAACCUCCUUCGAUAUAGUGAAGAUUUGCUGGCUGACGCCCGUUACCAUCCCCCCUCGUGUUGGAUAUGUUUUCCACGUUAAAAUCACGUGUCUCUCGUGUUGAUUUCUUUAUCGUGUUCGAUUCCGUAUCUCUAAUGACCACCUACGGUCCAUUGGUUUAAGAAAUAAUAUAAUAAUUUUCAUAAUGAUCAGUGAGGCCACGUACAAACGAACAGACGGCCCUUACACUGAAGAACACAACGGAUGGGUGCAGCACACGCACUGCAUCUGCACAUCCAAAUUACACACAAGAACAAAAAUCACGAUACCUAAUCAAACGAUCGAGGCAGCAUUCGCGCGCGUGCAUGCAGGAGCUCCGGGCGGCCGGCCGAUCGAUCGAUCCUGCGCGCCCACCGCACGAGCCAUGCGUGCAUGCAUGCAUGCAAGCCCGGGGUAACCGGAGGAUAAAUUAUUUAAUUAG
rnacentral:lncRNA from 1 species